rnacentral:lncRNA from 1 species
AGUUGGUGUCAAACCACUUGGUCAUUUCCAUAGCAGGGACAGAGGCAUUUCCUCUGGCCAUCGAGAAGUAAACAUCAAAUCCAAUCUCCCCACCAUUCCAACCAUAUCUGGGAGGAACGGCACCAAGCAUCGCGGUGGUGUCGAGCACCUGAUCGUAGUAUGCGAAGGUGUUGCUGGGAAUGUACUUGAUGCCGGCAUGGGACAUCUGCUUCCAGAUGGACGACCUGAGAUCAGCUGAGACUUUCUGCAAAUCCUCGGCGCUGCUCUUUUUAUCCCAGAAUGAUUCCAGGGCGAACUUGAGCUCCCUCUUGGGGCCCAUGCGAGGAUAUCCAACGAUGUGGGACGCCAUCUCUCUGGAUCAACAUCAACAAGAGGUAAGUAACCUCGUCUAACUCACUCACGCAACAGAAAAAAUGUAAUUAGCUGAUGCAACAGCUAUAUCAUUCUGUUUCUUUUGACUAGAUCUGGCAAGAAAAACCAAAACCCACACAAAAAAAUUGAUCCCACCAUAACUGUUUACGAUUUCAGCUAAGAGUGGAUCCAACCGUACUCGAACGAAGUUGAGUGUAUGUGUAAGUACAGUACUUGUAAACACACACCCGGAUGCAUUCAAACUUGCAACUUUUUGAUUGGAAUGAAGUCCUUUUGGAAAAUGGUGUCAGUAUUAAGUGGAAUUCAAGAUCCUCUGUUCGCACACGAGUAGGUGAAAGCAACGAAACAGACGUACGAAACCAAAGAAGUCACCGGAGCAGGCACAUACGCAGAUCCGCCGCUAAAGACAGACAAAGAUUCAAAACAAACGGUCUUUCAUCCGCAUGGAUAGAUAAACCAGCGAGAUCAGAUCGAACGAGACAGAGUAACGCCGAGAUCCGCCGGAGAUCUACAAGCGACACGACCGCGGGACACGAGAUCUGGUAGCGCGAGGAGCGCCGGACCUCGAUCCGAACAGGAAGCGGGAGCGCCGACGGCGUCCGACGCUCCCAAGGGUCGAGACGGCGAGUUCACACUCGCCCCUCGAUCUCGAUCACUUCCCGAGAUCGAGAAGAAGACAGUAUAAACAGAGGGUCCGACGAUCUAAUGGUAAAAACGCAAACACUGAACCGGAGCGGGACCCCAGUUACGGGAGCUCCAACGCGGUCGCGCUCGCCAUGCGCGAGCGGAUCAUGUUCAGUAUCGGGUCAAAAUCUAGCGUCCAUCACGACCAGUUACAGGCAAGGCAACGAGACACGGGCAAAAGAAAACAUGGAGGAAUGCGAAGCGGUUCAACGACCCCUACCUUCGCGUGGACGGGGAAGGGGAAUGAGAUGUGUUCUCUCUCUCGGAGCGACUAGGAGAUGGCGAGGAGAGGGAUAGAGAGAGAAAGAAGAGAGAGAGAACGGCGCGAGGAAGAGGAUGAGGCUGCUUGGUUAUUUAUACAGCCGGAGUUGUUGGGGGAUGGUGAGGUUUUAGUCUUUAAGAUAGAUCUGGGAACUCUUUUUACUGGGGAAUGUACAGGUACAGCCCUCUCACGCGCUCACGCGCUCUUGGAUGGCGCGUGGGAACGGGAUCUGGAUCUCGAUGGUCGUCGGUUGGUGUGCCCAUCGGAACGGGGGGAGUUAGAAAGAAAAAAGAAAGGGCACUUCAGUUCAAAUCUUCGUCAAUUUCUUUUAUUUUAUUUUUUUCAUUUUUGGAUGUGGUUUUUUUGGUAGGUAAUCCUCGUAAGAUUUUACUAGCAAAAAUGAGAAGACUUUGGCUCUGAAUGUUUGUGUUCUUUUUAUCUGUUCAUGAACAGAUUUUUUAUUUUUUUGUUCCCGGAAACAAAAAAAAAUAGAAACGCGUUUAUUUGCGUUUUUGUUCAAAAUCUUUUUUUUCGGAACAAAAUUGGAACGGAAAUAAGAAAUAAAAAAAAGGUUGUUUUUUUGUUCCGAAAACACUUUUGAAGAACAAAUUUUCUCUCUCCUCUCUUUUUUUCUCUUUUUUUUUCCUUCUUCUUCUUUUCUUCUUCUUUUUUCUUUGGCCGGUCGCCGGUCACCAGCCAUGGCUGGCGACGCUCGGCCUCACCGGAUUUGGGCGAGGCCAAGCUCGCCCAGCCAAGGCAAGGUCGAACGGCGUCGGCGACGCUCGGCCUCGUCGGAUCUAGGCGAGCCCGAGCUUGCCCAGCCAAGACGAGGCUGAGCCUCGUCGUCGCUGGGCGAGGCUGCCGGCCCCUGUCGGCUGAUCACCGGCCUCAGCAUGGCCGGCGACCGGCCAAAAGAAGAAAAAAAAAGAAAAAAAUAUUAAAAAAUUAAAAGAAACAAAAAAAAAAAAUAUAAAUUUACCAAACGUGUUUCUAUUCAUUUUUUAUUCCCGGAACAAGUUUACCAAACGCGUCUUUUUGGUCAAAAAUUGUUCCUCGGAACAGAAAUAGUUUUUUUUAUUUCUAUUCCCUAGAACAAUUUUUGAACAGAAACGUAACCAAACGCGCCAUUUGCAUAUUAAGCACCCGAUUGAUCACUUUGAUGGCUGACUAAGAUGAAUUAGACCCGACUAACGGUGAAUGUACAUCCAUGAUGUGAAAAUGCCAAAUUUUCGAAGGUUUAGUUCGUUUUACAAAAAAUAUGGCAUUCUUGAAAAAUAUUUUCACAAAAGUUAUUUUUCAUAAAAAUUAUACUUUUUUAAUAUGCAGUUGAAAUAUGAAAAUAAUUAAAAAAUAUUUUCUGCCAUUUGCUAUGAAAAAUUAUCAUGCACUCCUAUUAAUAACAUCUUUAUUUUAUUUUAUUUUUAUUUAAAAUCAAAAUUUUAAUUUCUUUUUCUUUUUAUUUUCUUCUUUCUUCUUCACAGUGAUAGUCAGCAACCAAUCAUAGACAACCUUGAGGUUCAACCAAUUGGUGAGCACAAGCCUUGCCACAGGUUCGAAUCUCACCAAUAGACGUUGCCAAGGUCUUGGCCUCAACUAAAGCUUGCCAAGCGCUACCUAUUUGGGUGGCACAACCUCAAGUAAGGCUAUCCAUCGGUUGGUUGGCAGCGUAACUUUAUCGAAUUUCACUUUAAUUUUUUUUAAAUUAACAAAAUGUUUCAAUAGUAUGAUAUGGGUGUUUCUAAUAUUCACAAUAUUUUCCUUUAUUUUUUUAAUUUUGCCCACCUGAUUUAUGUGAUGACGUGGCAUUUCGUGAUCCAUUGGAUGUCCUUCACACGAGUGUUGUCAUGGCUAAAUAAUAAGCGUUGGAUGUGGGUGUGUUUGGAUCGUUGGAUCUCGCUUGAUAACCACCGUUGGAUCCAAGUAAACUAAUGGGCAAGUUUGGACCGUCGGAUGACCCCUUCUGAUUGUGGAUGUCCGUCGACUUAGGGUUGCCUCUUUCACUUCUCAUGGCCACCGCUCGUCCUACAAGUCCUCCAUGGCUACUGAGCAGCAAGUUGGAACCUCUUGUGCUGAGACCCCUAGCACCUGCAAAUCCUCCAUGGACUCCAAGUAAUGAGCUAGAUCCUGUUAUGAGGGCUGCAAGAGCGACACCAUCGCUCGCCUUUGUGUGCUUGGCUGUCACCAGCCUCUAGCUCUCCUCUUGGACGGCUAGUUAGUAGAUCCGGCCAAGCAACGACGUUGGCUCCAUUUAUCAGGAUCUGUGACCUAAAGUGUGAGUAUGUUUUGUUCAAGCUCAGCAAAAGACGCGUUACUUUCUCCCUUCUCCUCAUUGCCAGAUACCAACCAAGUGUUGUCUUAGGUCCCUUGAGCUACUCUUCGGCCACCUCGAGCUUUGUCAUUUGUGGUUAACCAAUCCAAAGCCCUCAUGAUAUUCUGGUAUUGAUCUUGAGUAAUUGGUUAGUGCAUUCCAUCAGUCCUUAGUGCCGAAACUUGAUAAGCAGAAAAUUCUUUUUCCUUUUUUUUUUCCUCUAGCAAUAUAAAUAGAGCAAUGUAAUUGUACAAUAUACACAUAAAUAUAUAUGACAAUUUCCUCCAUGAAUUUUCUACUUAUCAGGUUUCAGUACUAAGGACUGAUAGGAUGCACCAACCAAUUACCCAAGAUUAGUACCACAAUAUCUUGAGGGCUUUGGAUCGGUUAACCACAAAUGACAAAGCUACAAGUUUUUCAGGUACUACUCUCCUUUCCAAGGCAAACUCAAUAUCUAUUGAUGCAUGGAUAAUUGAUUCGAAUGCUAGUGAUCACAUAAUUUGCAAUGAAAAAUUAUUUUCCCAUAUUCAAAAGAGUCAACAUUUAUAUUCCGUCCGUCUUCCAAAUGGAAAUAUCACUCAUGUCACCAAAAUUGGGAUUGUUCAUCUUAGUUCCAAUAUUGUCGUUAAAAAUGUCCUUCAUAUUCCAAAAUUUGAGUUCAAUCUUUUAUUUGUUUCAAAAACUUGCGAAGAUAAUUCUUGUCGUGCCAUAUUCAAUUUAGAUAACUGCUUCUUUUAGGAUCUUUCGAUUGCCAGACUGAUGGGCUUAGGCAAUGUUGCUCAAGGACUUUUUUUUUGGGACCAAUUUCCCAAAAGAUUUCGAUUUAUUGAAUGAAGGUACUUCUUGUAAUGCUAUUAUUACAAAUCUGUUUUCUCAUCAGAGUUUGGCUCAUAGUGCACAUUUCCCUUAUCCAAAAUGUCCUAUUUGCCCUCUAGCUAAACAGUCUCAGACACACUUUCCAACUAGCACAUGUGCUUUCUCUUUACUUCAUAUCGAUAUCGGGGUCCUUACCACACACCACAUCAUGAUGGAUCACAAUUCUUACUCAUUAUUGUCGAUGAUUAUACUCGCACCACUUGGGUUUUUCUUAUGCAACCCAAGGGUCAAACCUUUUCAAAUCAGUCAAAGUUUCUUUCUCUCAUUAAAAAUCAAUUCGGCAAAUCUAUUCAACGAAUUCGCACGGAUAAUGGACGCGAGUUCUUUACUACAAAGUGUGUGUCUUUUUUGUCAUAUGGGGGAAUAAUUCAUGAAAGUUCUUGCACCUAUAUUCCCCAACAAAAUGGGGUUGUCGAGCGCAAGUAUUGGCACCUCUUAGAAGUCACCUGUGCUCUUAAAUAUCAAGCUUCAAUUCUUGAAAACUUUUGGGGAGAUCGUGUGGUCACGGCAGCUUAUUUAAUUAAUCGCAUGCUGACUUGGAUCCUCAACGGGCGAACUCCUUUCCAAUUGCUUUAUGGAAUACAACCACGAAUUGAUCAUCUCAGGGUAUUUGGUUGAUUGUGUUGUGCAACAACCGUGGGUCCUCGAGAUAAAAUGGAUCGCGCCAUUCCAUGCGUCUUUAUGGGAUAUCCCCCUAUGCAGAAAGGUUAUAGAGUCAUGGAGAUUUCUAUAGGGCAUUUCUUUCUAAGCAAAGAUGUGUUUUUUCGGGAAGACAUAUUCCCAUUUCGAGAAAAUGCACCUUCAUCCUCUCCCUCAACUUCAAAUCAUCGUCCAAUUCUGUCAAAAGAGGAUCUAUCUAUGGAGCCUCAGUUUGUAAUUGUUGCACUAGAACACCCUGUGCUAGUCACAACGGACUUAUCACAUCAGGCAGGUGGAUCACCUAUCCUUUUAGAUGAGAGAGAUAGUUCGUUUGGAUCUUCAGUGAUUUCUUCACCACAACAAUAACAAGCUUCUUCAUAUGAGCCCUCACCUGCUAUGUAAGGACUCGAGCCUCCCACUGUGUAAUAUUGUCCACUUUGGGCCUUCAGCUCUCGUGGCUUUAAAAUGCGUUACACAGAUUAGAGGGAUCAAAGCCUUAUAAACUAGCCCAAGACUUCCCCCUUAAGUGAUAUGGGACAAGAGAAGGACCCUUUCCUUGCGCACGUCCGGGGACCGAGGUGCGGACGCACCGCCAUCCCUCCUCCUCGCGCACUGCCGCUUGGGCUAUCACACUCUCCACCCCUUAGGAGAACGGCGUCCUCGAUGUGGUCCCACACGCCAUCGGGAGUCGGCUCUUAUACCACUUGUAAAGAUCUGGGCCUCCCAUUGUAUAAUAUUGUCCACUUUAGACAUUAAGUUCUUAUGGUUUUAAAACACAUUACACAGAUGAGAGGGACCCAAGCCUUAUAAACUGACCCAUGACUCCCCCCUAAGCGAUGUGGGACAAGAGAGUGACCCAUUUCCUGUGCACAUCCGGGGACUAAGGCAUGGACGCACCGCCAUCCCUCUUUCCCGCGCACCGCCGCUUAGCCUGUCACACUUUUCCCUCAGAACGCGUAUUAAAGUCGUGUGGACUGAAGGCUCAAAGUGAACAAUAUUACAUAGUGGGAGGCCCAAGUCCUUAUAAAUGGUAUCAGAGUCGACUCCCGACCGCGUGUGGGGCCACAACGAGAACGCUAUACUCCCGGGGGGGGGGGGGGGGGGGAGAGUGUGACGGCCCAAGCGGCAGUGUGUGGGGAGGAGGGAUGGAGGUGCGUCCGCGUCUCAGUCCUCGAAUGUGCGCAGGGAGGGGGCGCGUCUCUUGUCCUACAUUGCUAGGGGGGAAUCCUAGGCUAGUUUAUAAGGCUUGGAUUCUCUAACUUAUGCAAUGUGUUUUAAAGUCAUGAGGGUCAAAAGCGGACAAUAUUACACAAUGGGAGGCCCGAGUCCUUACAUGCUAUUCCUCAAGAAACAAGAAUUGAGCAACCUUGACAUUUUGGGAGACAUACCCAACCACCCACUUGGACAAAGGACUACAUAUGCCUUACACUGGAUUGUUUAGGUACACAAUAUCAUGUGUCUUCAUAUGUUUCAUUUAGUUAGCUGUCACCAUAACACAUGUUCUGCAUUAGUCGAAUUUUUGAAGAACAUGAACCAUCUUCUUAUUAUGAGGCAGCAUGUGACCUUAGAUGGCGAGAUGCUAUGGAGGGUGAACUAAUAGCACUUACUGAAAAUCAUACAUGGGACAUUGUUAUACUACCUCCACAUCGAAAGCCCAUUGGCUACAAAUGGGUCUACGAGAUUAAAUUCAAGGCAGAUGGUUCCAUUGAAAGAUACAAGGCCAAGUUAGUUGCAAAAGAAUUCAUGCAACGGGAAUGUUUCGAUUAUCAUGAGACCUUCUCCCAUGUAGCUAAGGAAGUUGUUGUUCAUUCUUUUCUAUCUGUUGCUGCCUUUUGCAAUUGGCAAUUAUAUCAAAUGGAUGUCAAUAAUGCCUUCUUACAUGGGGACUUGGAUGAAGAAAUCUAUAUGGAGCUUCCACAAAGUUUACGUAGACAAGGGGAGUCUAAUGUGUGUCGUCUUUGCAAAUCCCUGUAUGGACUUAAGCAUGCUUCCAGACAGUGGUACGCCAAGUUCACCACUGCACUAAUUAGCGCAGGAUUCUAGCACUUCAAGCAUGAUCAUGCCUUAUUCACAUGGACUAAUUCCCAUGGACUAAAGGUACUUCAUCAAUUUACUUGUUAAUAUAUGUUGAUGGCAUCCUUAUAAUGGGAAAUAGUGAGUUGGCUAUUACCAAGUUCAAGAAAUAUUUGCAUUCUGUUUUUCACAUCAAGGAUUUAGGGCCUCCCAAAUAUUUCCUCAGGAUUGAGAUAGCUCGAUCUGAAAAAGGGAUUAACCUCAGCCAAUGAAAGUUCAUUUUGCAGAUAGUUUCAGAAGUAGGGUUAUCAGGAUGCAAACCGGGUGCUAUAAUAAUUGAACAGAAUGCAAAACUAACGACACAUAAAUAUGAUGUGAGCUCGUCUUCAUCCAUUAUUGAUUUGUUGCUUAAAGACCUAUUGGGAUAUCAACGUCUUGUAAAAAAAUUGAUCUACCUUACCAUGAUAAGACUCGAUAUAUGCUACAUAGUGAAAAUACUCUACCAAUUCAUGCACAAGCCGAAGCAGUCUCAUAUGAAUGCAACACUGAAAGUUAUGAAGUACUUGAAGGGAUGUCCAGGACUUGGUAUUUUUUCUGUCUCGUGAUUGCAAUAUGAAAAUGAUAGCUUACUGUGAUACAGAUUAUGCUACUUGUCCAAUGAUGAGAAGAUCGGUAGCUAGUUUUUGUAUCAAAUUGGGGAAAUCACUCAUCUCAUGAAAAACAAAGAAACUAUCAAUUGUGUCACUACCAUCAACUGAGUCAAAAUAUAGGGCCAUGACAAAGAUUGUUUGUGAAAUAGUUUGGAUACGUGGAUUACUCUCAAACCUUGGAGUACAAGUAGAUGGACCCAACGAAUUAUUUUAUGACGAUGAUGCUACACUUAAAUUAGCGGCAAAUUCAGUUUUUCAUGAGAGAACCAAGUAUAUAGAAGUUGAUUGUCAUUUUACUUGAGACAAGAUUCGAGAAGGGAUUAUGACAAUAAGAGUAAUUGAAAUGGAACAACCUAUAGACAUAUUUACCAAGCCAUUAUGCCAAAGCCAACAUGGAUAUCUUUUGAGCAAGUUAGGUGUUAUCGACAUAUACAGGCCACCAAUUUGAGAGGGAGUGUUGGAAAUAUGAUGGGAGAUAUCGAUUCUGGUUAUCUAUUAAUUGAUUUAGUCAAUCACUGACUAGCUUGGUAAAGUAGGAAUGUAAUCGUGUAUAUUUCAUUUCCUUUUUUUCUUUAUUACCCGACUUGCCAUGUAAUUUCCAACACAAAAAACCCUUUACAAAUGUACGGUUUAUCAAAUAGUAUUUAAGUCAAGGUCACUUUUCAAUACACUUUGAAGUUAUAAUUUGUCAAAUACUAAAAUAUUUUGAAAAAUCUCUUUAUCCUAAAGUAUUUACAGUUUUUAGAUAUUUUCUCUCUCACUCUGAUCGCGAAUUUUAAGGAGCGCUGUGGCAACCGUGCGGCGCAUGGUGCCUGCUCAAGAUCCAGAUCGGAGAAAUGCGGUGUUCGGUGAUGGUCUUUCGAGCACUACGACCUAAAAAGUCGGUAAGUUGCCUUGUCGCGAAUCAACCAAAAAACGAAAGCCACGUGACUUGCGUGCCCCCACGCGCUGCACUGGCGCUUGCACAUGGGGUUGAAAAUUACCUGAAAAUGAAAGGCCAAAAAGGAAACGAAGAUAAAAAAAAAAUAAUAAUAAACGAAUAUAUGUACAGGAAAUGAAGAAAUGAGGGGAAAGAAAAUGAAAAAGUUGGUGGCUGAGAGUUGGUGAGGGAUUGGUCGUGGGGUUCCACUUCAUUUGCACUACGGCUGGGGCGAUUACAUUACACACGCGACGCUGUUUCAUAUUGCUCCCAAGCCUCAGUGAAUUACCCGAUUUGCCCUCCGGUGGACGAGGAAUGGCAGGGGUUGGUUUAAGAGGUGGCGGGGUUGGUGAAGAUGUAGGAAGUGGGACCCGCCCACCGCUAAGACACUGAAGCGCAUGGUGAUUUGCUCGCAUGUCCAAUCAUCAAAAGGAGCAGCCUUGUAUUUUGGACUCGCUCUUUAGUCAUUUUUUAAUCUUCUUCUUUGCUAAAUUAAAAUUGUUAUUUUUUAAUUGCCUUUUAAGCUGGAAAUGAGAGAUAAAGGAGACGGGAGUGCGCGAGACAUGGUGCGGGCAAGUACAGGUGGGACGCCGAGAUCCACACGGUAUGAUUGGGUACGGUUGGGCGGGGCCCCGCCAUAUUUUAAUGAACCAGAUCGUGAGGACGGGCCAGAUUCCGAUGUGAGAUCGUAGUCCGCCGCAGGUACGUCCAGCGAGUCACGGUGGGCUCGCCGACGCCGGUUUCACAAAAUCGGUUCAUCGAACGGCGUGUCCGGUUUUCAAUAAAGAAAGGAUAUGUGGAUCCUUAAACCGGUUUUUGGAAAUCGGUCCUAAUGAGUUUAGUAAUUUCUUGUGUUUACUUUCGAUUUGUCCCUUCUUUCGUGACAAUGGACUUGGUAAUGGAGCGACUGCAUUAAAAGAGCAUCUCAUAUCUCUUGACUUAACCUAGUUCGUCUCCUUGUCGUAGUCAUGAUGCAAUCUCCACCAUCUUUCUCUCUCUUUUCCCGCAUAUAUGGGAAGCAUGCUGUCAUAAUGGCAAUUUCGUUGGCAUCAUUCGGGCUUGAGAUUUGGGGACAACAGUGCCAUGAGUCCAAAGAGGAAGAUGUAGAGAUUUGUAGUAGCGUCAUAGCAUUAGGAGGGAUGGAGACAAAGGAGGAAUGGCAGCACUAUUGCGGCCAUUGCCAUGAGAGAGAAAGAGCCUAUUUAGGGACCGGAGAAUGAAGAUGAUUGUGAUGGAGACCAAAAGGCAAUCAUGACACGUGGUUAGCAAGAUGGCACCCGACAACUCUAAGGUCUGUUAGGUAGUAAUUGCUCACGAAAAAACACGGAGAUUAAAAGAUGCGGAAGAUAGGGUUUGGUAGAAUAAUGAGAGCGAAGUUUUUUACAUUAAAAGAUCUUUUGCACGAUUGGAACUUUUUCAGUGGACGGCCUACGAAAUUUGGACUAGACUUGGAUUGGAUCUAUUCAAUUCUUAUAAAUUUCCAAUUUCACACUCCACUAGUUAAGUAGCAUGGGCUCAUUUUAGCUCUUCUUGUUGUUGUGGGCUUGCGUUUCACUUGAAAGCGUACGUUUGGGCCUCAAGUGAAUCAACAUUUGCUCACAUAUUUAGUUUUUGUUCAUGUACCAUGCAAGUUAGGUAAUUCUAUACUAUAGAAUGAGAAAUUGGGUAAAUUUCAUUAUUUCACCCAAUAGCUAAUAUUUCGUAAAACUCUGUUAUCUCGACCCUAGUAAGAGUUUCUACAGCCAUCGUGGCUACCCUGUCCUGCAACGAGUUUUGGAUGCAACACUGUUUAAAUGAAAACUAAGACAUUCAUUUUAGAAUUAUAAUACUUGUAGUUUCUCCUUUGCGAAACAUUCUUUGAAAAAAUCAUAAGACAUUCAUUUCAGAAUCACAUCACUUGUCACUUUUCUUUUUCUUCAUCCAGUGUAUAUUUUUUACUAGCAAAAUCAAUCUGCAAGAUAGGUGGACUUUUAUGUUGUGUGUUAGUGUUCUUUUCCGUAUAAAUUGCGGGAUGCAUGUAUACCUAAUAUAAACAAGUAAAAUUACCUUGUACGCUUGUGAAUUAUACAUCAUUAAAGAUAAGAUCUAAGUGUUUUAAUUUCCGUAACGAUGUAAUUAUACAUGUUUUAAUUUCCGUAACGAUGUAAUUAUGCAUUUAACUAUGUAAAUUGAUGUGGCCAUGGUUGAAAAAAAAGAAAAAGAAAAGUUAGCUAGAAGAGAAAUAUUACCCGUUAAUAGAGAAAAGGAACAACAAAAGAUUAUUAAGGCAUUUCAUAACUUAAAAUUUACUUAGUUGCUUGUUAUUGAAAUAAAAAAACAUUUGAAUGCCGUGCUUACAUUGCAACUGCAGGCGGAAUUCUGCUUGAAGAUCCUCUAAUCAAAACUCCUCGUCCUUCUUACUUCUUUUUCCUCUUUUCUUUUGUGGCGUAUCAUGAACUGAACGCACUCAUUAAAAGUAAAGAGUACUUAUUUAUUUAUAAGUAACUUAAUCUUACUCGAAAAGAACUCGCGAUAUAAAUCGUUUCUCAGAAAAUUAAUGACCGCUAAAUCGUUUAAUUUUCCGUAAAUAUCCGAGACAAUGUUUGAUAUACACCGAAAGCAUACAAAAUGAAGCUUUCUUCGGGUCCCUAUGCAUAACGAGGAUGAUAGACAUUCAUCAAUUUUUACAAAAUCCUACGGACCCUCUCAUCGCAUCAUUAUCCGACCCUAGAAAAAAGAGGAAAACGAUUUUACAGUCGAUGGACGCGCGCGGCUCCAGCCGGUUCAGGCUCCCGACACGGCCAUCGCGGCCAUGGACGACCGGUCGAAGCUGCUCCGCAUCGGUCUCUCCCUCGCCUGCUUCUUCUUCUUCUUCAUCGUCGUCUUCAUCUUCAACCCUCCGUUGCCGAUCUCUUCGUCCCUCAGCUCCAUCGUUUUCGCGAACCGAGCGACCCCUCCCACCUGCCUGGCCCCGUCCUUGAGCGCGCCGCCGUGGACGAGGAUCCUCAUGAUCCCGGCGUACUGCAGGGACUCCGCCACCUGCAGCGCCGUCACGCCCUUGUUCGUCCUCGCCUCCACGUCGGCCCCCUUCUUCACCAGCAGCUCCACCACGUCGAACUGCCCCGACUCCGCCCCGCAGUGCAGCGCCGUGUAGCCGUCCUCGUCCCUCGCGUCCACGUCCACGCCCUUGUCGAGGAGCGUCCUCACGGCGUCGGCCCGGCCCUUGAACGCGGCCCGGUGCAGCGCGGUCCAGCCGUGCUGGUCCCGGCCGUUCACGGCGGCUCCGCUCUCCAGGAGCCGGUUGAUCGCCCGGACGUCGCCCUCCCGGGCCGCGGCGCAGAGCCUGUCGCCGAGCUUGAGGGCGUCGAAGAGCCGCGCAUGGCCGUGCUCCACCGCCACGUCGUAGGCCGUCUUGCCGUGCCGGCUCCGGACGUCCUUGUUCGCCCCCUUCUGCAGGAGGAGCUUCACCAUCUGCUCGUCGCCGAGGCGCGCCGCCGCGUGCAGCGGCGUCUCUCCGUCGCCGGUGCUCCGCACGUCGGUCCUCGCGCCGUUCGCGAGCAGCAGCCUCGCGCAGUCCCUCCGCCGCUCCUCCACGGCGAGGUGGAGCGCCGUGCUGCCGUCCCUCGCCGGGGAGUCCGGGUCGGCCCCUUUCAACAGCAGCAGCCGCAGGACAUCCAUGUGGCCGCCCCCGGCGGCAAGGUGGAUCGCGCCGUACGUGGAGGUUUCUGACCGCUCCGUCCUCGCCCGCCGCGCUAGCAGCAGCUCCGCGAUCAGCGCCUCCCCGGCUGCCGCCGCCGCCUCGAGCGGCGACGAUCCGUAGCCGCCCCGGGCCUCGACGUCCGCCCCGAACUCUAGCAGCAGCUGCACGAGGUCGGGCCUCGCCUGGGCGAUGGCGAGGUGGAGCAGCGUCUGCCCCUGCUCGUCCGCCGCGUCGGCCGCACCCCACGACGGGUCGCUCCGCUCGAGCACCUCCCUCACCUCGUCCAUCGAACCUUCCUUCACGAGCCGCACCAGCACCGGCGAACCCACGAACAUCACCUUCACCCCGCUGUCGAUGAAGACCUGCUUCUUCCUGGUGGUGAACCAGUCGCUGGGGACGGAGUCGAGGGUGGAGCUCGGGUCCUUGACGGCGGCGCCGGGGACGACGACGCUGUGGAGCUGGAACGAGUCCUCGCAGCGCGGGAACGAGGCGGGGAGCGCCGAGCCGGGCGGGAGGUGGUAGGUGACCUCGACGGUGAGGGUCUGGAGAGGGGGGAUGAUGCCGGACUGCGGCCGGACGGUGUAGCGGGGCUUGUUCAGGGGCUGGAGCCGGAAGGCGACCGGCAUGGUGUACAUGACGUUGCGGAGGGUGAGGUGGCCGGAGCACUUCUGGCCCGGCUCGAUCCGGACCGCCACGACGUUCGACGGCUCCAAGCCUAUGAGCCGGUCCAUGGGUCGAAUCUUUACUUCCGAAUGCCUUCGCUUUUUGCGCGUGUUUUUCUCUCUUCUCUUCUCUUCUCUUUUAAUUAGGGGAUUAAGGAGGGGAAAGAGAGGAUUAAUUAAGGAAGCGUCGAAGUAUGAGGAGGGGAGGGUGGGUUUAAUGCGAGCGAGGGAGGGAGGGGAGGCCGGCGCGAAUGGGAGAGCGCCACUUGGUGGCGUAGAAUUCGAUGCGGGCUGGUUCCAUUCGGCGUCUCGACUCCCUAAAGACAGACCUAAGUAAAAGUUAAAGAAGGGAGAAAACCUUGGUUGAAAAUUGAAAAUUGAGAAGUCAUUUUCACCAUAGCAAUUGAAAAUUGCAUAUUAAUGAGAAAAGUGCUCGUCUCUUCUCUCUCUUUUUUCUUUUUUCUUUACUUUUGCGUUUUUUUUUUAAAAGUAUACUAUGAUGUGGGCGUUUAAAGGAUCUUCUUUGGAAGCAGAGUGGGCAUAUAGGGGUUAGAUUCUCUUAAUUUGUUUUUAGUACAAUAAUGGGUUUCUUGUUAGCAAACUAAUUCCGCAAAGAACAAGAGGUUAGCAUAACAAUGGUCUUGUCUAUGUUGAACAUCCUUGUGUGGGGGCCAGAAAUUUUUAGGUUUUUCCCCUCCCCUUUUGGCCACGAUUAGAACUAGUUUCAUUUUCAUAGUCUAAGUACAUGGAGGACUGAGGAGUGGUUAACUCCAAAGUUUCUUACAUGUCAUUCAAUCUAGAGGAUAGAACACUGAAGAUCAAACAUGCACUAGGAGUUGACUCAUUCAAUUUUUUGAAAUGUGAUAGGAAUGAACCUUUUUAUUUGUUUGUGAAGCGGUUUUUCUUUGGAUGAUGCAAGAAUGAUAUCACUUUGUAGGGUACCUUUUCUUUUAGCUUUACCUAAUACACCAUGUACAACAGUCAAAUUUGCACUAGAAUGGCCAAGUCUACGAAGAAAAUGACGAGUGUUAUUAUCAUAUAAAAGUGUACUCUUUCAUAUAUUAAAUUAAUAUGAAUUAAGCAUACUCUAAACAAAAAAAAUCUCAUGGCUAGCUAUCAAUGGGGGAAGUAAUUUAUGCUACACCUUCGGUAUUUCAGAAGAAAUUACAUUUGACCAUCUUUGCUUAAAAAUGAUUUAGUUCGAUCUGAUGGGAAAACUUAAUAGUAUAUAUUUUUGUCCAUCAAGUAAUAAUCGCGUACCAACCAAAAAAGAAGAAGAAGUAACAAUCGUGCAUUUACCAACAUGUGUAGCUUAGAUGGUAAGAAAGUUUACUCUUUUCCUUCUGAACUUAGAUUUAAGUAUUGUUAGGAGUACUCAAGAGUAAAAUCUUAAACACAUCAAGUUGAAACAACAAGAGCAUGUCCUUAAAAUAGCUCGACUAAGUAAAUGUGUUGAAUGCGCAAAAUUGAUCUGGAUACUACCCAACAACUAAAUUAAUUUUGCAAAAUCCUUUGAAAACCGGGUGUAUUAUUAUUUUGGGAUAAAGUUAAUGCUUUCUUCUCUCUCUUUUCUUCAUUUUGCUUUUGCAUUUCACUGGCAAAAAAGUGCAGGACGUUUGAGAAUCACCGUAUGAGUCGUUUUACACAGUUUUUUUUUUUUUUUUGGGGUGGGGGAUCAAUCAUAGUUUGCUCAACUCGUUUUGGCAUAUAUAUUUCAAAAUAUUUCCCUUUUCUUUUGGGGGUAAAUAAGAUUAUUGCAGAUGCCCCAACACUUGCGGAGAAAAUGAAGUGAAGUCAUUGGGUAACGAUCACAAGAGAGACCGAGGACAAAACAAAGGUGGGGCCUAGGUGUUAAACAAAGUUUCUUAACAAUUAUUUAACUGUAAAUACACUUGGAAAUUACUCCUCCACGCACACAAUUCCCUUUAUAUUAUUAUUAUUGUUGGCCAUUAGAUUGCUUUUUUUAUUUACUAGGGGAAAUGGUCACCAGGUUCGAUGCUAACAACAUAUGGAAGGGGAAUAACCGAAAGCAUCUGGCGUUCGUGGUAGACUUCGAGAGGAGACAAUAACAUAGACAAAAGGCCCUCCUCAAACUGACCAAACGAUGCCGUUUGUCUUGUUCAUUUGAUGAAGUCCUAACGGUCCCUCAGGAUCUUCAAGGUGCGUUUGGUAAUCAUCCUAUUCCGAGGAACAAUUUUCAAACAUAAUUAGUUUUUUCUAUUUCUAUUCUUGGAAACAAUUUAUAAGUAUAAAAAUGCACUUGGUAACUGCAAUUUUUUUUUUUUUAGAAAUAGAAAUGCGUUUGAUAAACUUGUAUAAUUUUGUUGUUUCUUUUAAUUUUUCAAUAUUUUUAGUAUAUUUUUCAUUUUUUCCUUUUUCCUCAUUUGUAGUUGGUCGCUGGCCACAGCGGCGGCAGGCUCGUCGGACCUCGCUAGGCCACCGCGAGACUCGACCUCGCCCAAGCGGCGCAAGGUCAGCCUUACCCUAACCUGAAGAGGCUGAGCCUCACCUAGCCACAGCAAGGCUUGGCGUCGUGUGGAGUCGGCGAUGCUCCAGCAAGGUUGCUAGCCCUCGCCGGCCAUGACCAAGGUUGGCGAUCGGCCAAAAGGAAGAAUAAGGAAAGAAAAGAGAAGAAGAAAAAAGAAUAGAGAGAAAAAUUGUUUCUCGGAAUUGUUCCUGAGAACAAGAAGUUACUUUUUUCUACUUCUUGUUUCUAUUCUUAUUUUGUUCUCGGGAAAAAAAAUUAGAUUUUUUAUUUUCAGGAACAAAAGUUUUACCAAACACGUUUCUAUUUUUUUUUUGUUCCCAGAAGGCAUUCCCUUCAUGGCUAUUGGCUACUUAGACAUGAGGGGCUCUGAUCAUCGCCGUGCUGCAACUGUGAGUGCUAGAUUUGAUGCUCAGCAAAAGAAGCUUAAUUUGGUCAUACUAGCAGCCACCAUUGACUCCAUCGGCAAGGAACUCAAAAGUCCACACUCUCGGUACAAGGCCAAAAAGUGAGUAAAUUAGAUCUUCCUUUUCUAAUUAAAUAAUGUUGGAUAUGACGUGGGCUGUUAUUUUUUUUUGUUAUGAACCUCAUCAUUCUCCUGAUUGCACUUCAUUAUAGCAUCUCUAAGGAAGAAUACAUUAAGGCCAUCGAGGAGGAAAUUGACAAAGUUGUCAAGUUUCAAGAGGAGCUUGAAAUAGAUGUCCUGGUUUAUGGGGAGCCUGAGGUAAGACAGUCUUUGAAUCUAGUACUGUAAUUAAGACAGAUUAUGUUGGAUAAAUAGCUAGCAUCUUAUGAGCUAUUUUUUCUUUGUUGAACAUCUGGAAUCCAAAACAGAGGAACAAUAUGGUUGAAUACUUUGGGGAGUAGUUGUCAAGUUUUGCUUUCACCAUUAAUGGGUGGGUGCAAUCUCAUGGAUCUCGUUGUGUAAAACCACCCAUCAUCUAUGGUGAUGUGAGCCACCCCAAGCUACCCUAUGUCUUCUGGUCCACCACAGUCCAGAGCAUGGUAACUAGCCCAAUGAAGGGAAUGCUUCCAGGGCCUGUCACCAUUCUUAACUUGUCCUUUGUCCAAAAUGACCAACCCAGGUACAUAAGAACGGGAACUUCAUGUGUACAUGGGAUUGAUCAAAGAACAUAAACUUUAUUUCUCCUUUCAAGACUAGAAUAAUAAGGUUUAGUUCACAGCUUCGAAACUUGCUACCAAAUUGCCUUGGCCAUCAGGAAGAAGUCGAAGAUCUUGAGAAGGUAGGGAUCAAUGUUUUUCAGAUUGAUGAGCUAGCUUUGAGGGAUGGUUUGCCACUGAGAAAGUUUGAGCAAGCUUCCUACUUGGAUUGGGUUGUCCACUUUUUUAGAAUCACUAAUUGUGGUGUCAAGGGUACUACCCAGGUCCCUUCAUAAUUCCCUUACUUUUCUUUCUUUUCCCUUUCUUUUAAGUGGAAAGAUUCGUUCCUCACAUAGAUUGAUUUCAUUCGGUGGCUAUUACUGUUUGGCAGAUCCACACUCACACGUACUACUCCCAGUUCGUCGACUUCCCCCUCUCAAUCAUCAAUAAGGAUGCUGAUGUCGUCACAAUUGAGAGUUGUUGCUCUAAUGAGUCAGUUUUUGGUGAAGGAGUCAACUAUGGUGCUAUGAUUGGCCCCGAUGUCUAUGACAUCCUGUCUCCCAGAAUACUUUCAAUUAAACAGAUUGCUAACAGUAUCACCAAGAAGCUCCCAACAAACAUAGUGUCGUUUAACCCUGACUACAAAUUCAAGACUUGUGAACACGCUGGGGUUAAACGUGUGCUCAAGAACAUGGUUGCUGCUAUGGAGCUCCUCCGCACUAAACUUGCCCAUGCUAUGAAAGAAAAGUCUAAGUAACUCUCGGCUCAGAGAGAGAGUUUCGUGGGGUUGGGCUUCAAUGACCCAAUCUGCUACUUGAUCUGCACCAUCUAUGCUCGUUGAUAAGUAGUUAUGCUUUCUCAUAUUCUAGUUGCAAUUCUCUAUUAUCCACUAGCGAUUAUCUACGAUACAAUUACAACUACCGAGACUAUAAUCAUUAUGAACAAAACAAAGGUUUGCCAAAACAUCACUCAAAUUGCAGCUAGAAUAGGGGAAAGCAGAACUGCUUAUCAACGAGCAUAUAUGGUGCAGAUCAAGUAGCAGAUUGGGUCAUUGAAGCCCAACCCCACGACCUCUGAGCCGAGAGUUACUCAAACUUUUCUUUCAUAGCAUGGGAAAGUUCGGUGCGGAGGAGCUCCACAGCAGCAACCAUGUUCUCAAGCGCACAUUUGACCCCAGCAUGUUCGCGAGUCUUGAAUUUGUAGUCAAGGUUAAACAACACUAUGUUUGUUGUGAGCUUCUUGGUGACACCGCAGCAAUCUGUUAAGCUGAUAGUAUUCAGGGAGAUAGGAUAUUUUAUGUGCACCACCUAGGAUUAGGUUAAUGGACUACUAAGUCUAAAUUUAGCUCGGGCUCUCUCAAGCUUAUACUAAUUCGUGGUUUAGGUUCAAAUUUUUAACAUGCAAAUGGAUUUUAUCUAGGAAUCGCCACUAAUCAGUUUAUGGUAGGUCGAUUAGACACCUAAUUAAAAAAAUAAUGGGAGAAUUAUUUUACUCCUACGAACCAGAGAUUUUAGGUACGGGGACUUGGUUACACUAGAUUUCUCUAAUGUCCUUUCGAUACCAUUCUUUUUAUUUUCAAAAAUAUUUUUGUUGGUAGCUUGGAUUUAUUUUAAGCUAAAUUAUUAUCAUACAAUAGGGUGAUGUGUUCAAUCAUAUUAAACAGUCAAUGAAUCAAACAAAUUGUAUCAAAAUAAUUAAAUGCACAAAGCAAACAAAUUUUUUGGGUUUUUCUCUUAUUUAAUGAAACCUAAUUUUGCAAUGAUGUAAAAAAAUGUAUCUAUACUAACACAACAUGCAACGUGCAAUGUAAUAGGCAAAUUAUAUGUCAUGCGAUGUUACUCACAUGACCUAAGUUAAUGAUGAGCAAAUAUUAAUGCAACUAUUCUAGUAUGUCACAUUUAAAUUAUCCUAAUUAUGCAAUAACUAAAUGAUGUGCAAAGGAUGACCUAAUUUUAGGUGACACAUGCAUGAUAUUUUUUGUGCUUUCUUUUUAAUUCGAAAUUAAAAUUAGCUAAUAAUUAAACAUGCAAUUUUAAUUAAAGAAAAGGAAAUCUAAUCAUUCUAAAGCAAUGUUUUUGGCACUUUUAUUUAUUAGAGCUAGCAAUUCUAUCUAGAAUUUCGAAAAAAAAACACUCAAGAUAUCAAUCAGGAUUCAAAUAAAAUAUUGCAAUAUCCAGAAAAGAAAAAUAAUCCGUCAUGUCACGUCUUAGAUUAAUGGAUAUCUUAAUCUUGAUGAGGCACUUACUCAGAAUUCAACAUGAUAAAAAAAAUGAUCCGUUGUCUCACGGCUCGCAAUCUCAGACAACGCAAUUAUCCAAUAAUAAGAUGAGAUAAUUAAAAAAAUGAUUCGAUAUCUUUACGGAUCAAAUUAGUAAUUAAAUCAACUUUAUUAAUAAGCCCUACUUAGAUAUGCUUAAUAUCACAUAUCAGAUAACAACCAAUCCGAAUUAAGAAAUGAAAUAUUCCAUUUGAAUUGGAUACAGAUUGUUACCUGAUUUGAAAACGGGUAAUCCGGAUCGAAAUUGGGACCGGGUCACGGCUUGUGAAUGAUGCUCGACAGGAAGGCAGCAGCGGCAGCGGGCUCGAACCGCUACCAAAUCGUCGCAAGAGACUUCACUGGUUUCGGACGGAGACCGGGGUUCGCUAGACGACAAGAUCGUUUGAGAAACUUUUGCUUUCCACAUGUGGAUUAUUCAAGAAGUAGACAAAUUUCACCGCUUCAGCGCAUCGCUCUCUAAAUCCUUUCAUCGCUUUUGCCUCUUGUUUUGUGUGAACGUGACCGCGCAUUAAUUGAAUUUUCCAUGAUUCUGUGCACGUCACCCUUGCUGCUAUGUUGACUGAAGGUGGCCUUGAACUAAGCCCAGAAUUUCCUUCAAAUAAAACAAGCAAUAUUAGAGAAGAUAUGUGAGAGAAUCUGCGCUCGCCAAUGGUGCCCCUGGUCAUUGAUAGAGAGCCUCCAGCAAUGCUAUGGCGGGUGGUGCAGGACUUGUUUGAAGCGUCGAUGAAGAGCUUCGCAUGAUUGGGCUGUCGCGAGGCGCAAUGAUGGGGGCGACAGCGGGGCUCGGACUGGGCUUGCUGGCGUCACUAGAUGUCCGCUGUACUGAAAGAUCGUUGGAAUUGCUGUUGGGUCUCGCUUGAAGGCUGCAAAGGUCGUCGAAGGCUGAUGUAUCGCUGUAGCGGAGACAAAUAAAACUGCAGAAUUAUUGCUGGAACUCGCCCGGAAACCUGCAAGACAUAACAAACACCAAAGCUUCGUGGGAUCGAUCUUGGUCAUGCGGAAGUUGUGGGUGUUGGUGUAGAAUAGGCGUGAAAGUCCACGAUGACCGGGAGACUGAACCUGGAUAGCAAGCGAAAACACGAAAAUAAAUAAAUGAAUAAUUUAAAUAACGAAAUGGAAUUUCACACAAUCAAACUAAAAAAAUGCUUGAGUUAGCUUUAUGCUUGUCGUCAAUGUCCACAAAGCGAGAUGAACACGGGACGUCCAGAGGACUGCCAACACGAUAGACCAAUUGGAGAAUUCUCGAGAUCGUGGACCCCCGAUGUCUGAGGAUGUAUACCUCCUUUUAUAGCAAAAAGCCUUCCACGUAUCGUUGGAAAGUCUGGAUCCGUGGAGCUGAUGGAUGAUUCUUGGGGAAUUGCUGAGUUUUGGCUUUGAUUUAUCACCAAAAAUUGAUUGUGAAUCUCUCUAAUUUAUUUCUAAAUUAGCGCUCAGAAUCUUUUGGUUUCAUUUCCUACUUCUACUCAUAUUGCCUUGGACGUGUCCACAUUCGCUCAUCUCCAUUCACAAUUCCUGGGCCAACUUGAUUAUUUUCUCUCUUUUUCUUGCGAAUAUGGCCGGGUGGGCGUUUAUAGCGCUGAAACAAUCCCAUCAUUUUCUUUCACUGUUCUAUAACCAGCUCAUUAAUCUCAUUUUCUAAAUUCCAGCAAUCCACACUUUCCACAAAUGCCUUGAUUUCUUUCCUCCAUUUUGCCUCUCAAUUGCCGCGCUUUCUUUUUCCUUUAGCCGAUAGCUCAUCAUUUAUCCCACGAAUUCCUCCAUUAGCUUACCAAAAUUGCGGCCCCUAAGCAUCCAACCGAUUUUUUGAAUUUCCUAUCCUUCUUCGCAUGUGCAAUUUAUCAGUCCCUUUCCUCAUAUCAUGGGUGAGAUUCAUGGUCCCUCAUUAGGCUGAAUAAGGAUUUUUGCUAAUCCAUAUAACAUCAACCGAAGGUAUUCCCUUGACAACAUGAUGAUGUUAACUCAAAUGAAAAUUAUUGGACGUGGACACCAUCAAGUCAAACAUAUCCAUCACUAGACCAAUGCAAAUGUAAUAAAAAAAAUGCUCCUAAAACUAUAUAUUAUGCAAUUUAAUUCUAAUAUUUUUGUUUAGGGGUUAGAAUUAAUCCCUAAUUUUUCUAUGAAUAAAUGACUGGGUCGCCAAAAUUUAGGUGUCAACAACACUGGGCCAAUCACAGCAACAUAGUUGACUCCCUCACCGAAAACUGACUCAUCAAAGCAACAGUUCUCAAUUGUGACAACAUAAACAUCCUUGUUGAUGAUUGAUAGGGGGAAGUCGCUGAACUAGGAGAAGUACAUGUGAGUGUGGAUCUGCCACUGAAUGAAAUCCGUCUACAUGGGGAACGGAUCUUUCCACUUAAAAAAAAGGGAAAAGAAAGAAAAGUAAGGGAAUUAUGAAGGGACCUGGGUAGUAUCCUUGACACCACAAUUAGUGAUUCUAAAAGAGUGGAUAGCCCAAUCCAAGUAGGAAGCUUGCUCAGACUUUCUCAGUGGUAGACCAUCCCUCAAAGCUAGCUCAUCAAUCUGAAAAACGUUGAUCCCUACCUUCUUGAGAUCUUCGACUUCUUCCUUGAUGGCCAAGGCAAUUUGGUAGCAAGUUUCAAACCUGUGAACUAAAUCUUUAUUAUUCUAGUCCUGAAAGGAGAAAUAAAGUUUAUGUUCUUUGAUCAAUCCCAUGUACACAUGAAGUUCCCGUUCUUCUGUACCUGGGUUGGUCAUUUCGGACAAAGGACCAGUCGAGAAUGGUGACAGGCCCCGGAAGCAUUCCCUUCAUCGGGCUAGUUACCAUGCUCUGGAUUGCAGUGGACCAGAAGACAUAAGGUAGCUUGGGGUGGCUCACAUCACCAUAGAUGAUGGGUGGUUUUACACAACGAGAUCCAUGAGAUUGCACCCACCCAUUAACGGUGAAAGCAAAACCUGACAGCUGCUCCCCAAAGUAUUCAACCAUAUUGUUCCUCUGUUUUGGAUAACAUCCAGAUCCAGAUGUUCAAGAAAGAAAACAUAGCUCAUAAGAUGCUAUCUAUCUAUCCGACAUAAUCUGUCUUAAUUACAGUACCAGAUUCAAAGACUGUCUUACCUUAGGCUCCCCAUAAACCAAGACAUCUAGGUCAAGCUCCUCUUGAAGCUUGACAACUUUGUCAAUUUCCUCCUUGAUGGCCUUAAUGUAUUCUUCCUCAGAGAUCCUAUAAUGAAGUGCAGUCAGGAGAAUGAUCAGGUUCAUAACAAUAAAAAUAACAGCCCACGUCAUAUCCAACAUCGUUUAAUUAGAAAAGGAAGAUCUAAUUUACUCACUUUUUGGCCUUGUACCGAGAGUGUGGACUUCUGAGUUCCUUGGUGAUGGAGUCAAUGGUGGCUGCUGGCACGACCAAAUUAAGCUUCUUUUGCUGAGCAUCAAAUCUAGCACUCACAAUUGCGGCACGGCGAUGAUCAGAGCCCCUCAUGUCCGAGUAGCCAGUAGCCAUGCUCUGGACCAAUAGCACUCACAGUUUUACCAAAAGUUAUUUGGCUCUUACAAGAUGGGUUGGCAUCGUCCGAUGCCAGUAAGAGUUCCUAGUUCGACAGUGGCUUCAUGGCGUUAGAAUUUCUUGAUGUAGGAUUCUGCUUUUCCAUGCCAAAAGACAGAAAUUUCUUUUCUGGAUGAUAAAUCUUUAGAAAUACUUGUAAGCAUUUGUCGACACUAAUGACCAAUUUUUGGUUAUAAUCGAUGAGCACUAGCAGCAAGCUCGGUCGAUGAAAGUAAAAUUUGUUCAAAAUGGAUGUCAUCAAUGAACAUUACCAUCGAUAACUUGAAGAAAAUCAAUAAUGCGCCAAUGAAGUCAUUGACAGCAAAUAGUGCUAGAGAUUAUCGGCAAGAGCCUUUGCUGGUCAACAAUCGAUAGAUAAAGUCAUCAAUAGCAUAUAAUUGCAGAUUUUGCUAAGUAUCGAACUAGUGUCAUUCAUGAACAAAACAAAGGUUUGCCAAAACAUCACUCAAACACAAAGAUGGUCGAUUGACACGAGCACAAAAUUGCCCGCUAGUAAUGUCUAUAGUCUUAGAAUUUGUAAAUAUAUUGUAGAUAAUCACUAGUGGAUAAUAGAGAAUUGCAGCUAGAAUAUGGGAAAGCAGAACUGCUUAUCAACGAGCAUAGAUGGUGCAGAUCAAGUAGCGGAUUAGGUCAUUGAAGCCCAACCCCACGAAACUCUCCCUCUGAGCCGGGAGUUACUCAGACUUUUCUUUUAUAGCAUGGGAAAGUUCAGCGCGGAGGAGCUCCACAGCAGCAACCAUGUUCUCAAGCGCACGUUUGACCCCAGCAUGUUCACAAGUCUUGAAUUUGUAGUCAGGGUUAAACGACACUAUGUUUCUUGCGAGCUUCUUGGUGAUACUGUCAGCAAUCUGUUCAGCUGAUGGUAUACUGGGAGAGUGGAAGUCAUGGACACCGGGGCCAACCCCAGCACCAUAAUUGACUCCCUCGCGGAAAACUGACUCAUCGAAGCGACAGUUCUCGAUUGUGAUGACAUCAGCAUCCGUGUUAAUGAUAGAGAGGGGGAAGUCGUUGAACUGGGAGUAGUACGUGUGAGUGUGGAUCUGCCAAUCAACAACAGCCACCGAGUGAAAUCAGUAUACAUGGGAAACAGAUCUUCUCACUUAAAAUAAGGAAAAGAAAGAAAGACAAGUAAGAGAACUAUGAAGGGACCUGGGUAGUAUCCUGGACACCACAAUUAGUGAUUCUAAAAGAGUGAACAGUCCAAUCCAAGUAGGAAGCUUGCUCAAACUUUCUCAGUGGCAGACCAUCUCUCAAAGCUAACUCAUCGAUUUGAAAAACAUCGAUCCCUGCCUUCUCGAGAUCUUCAACUUCAUCCUUGAUGGCCAAGGCAAUUUGAUAGCAAGUAUCGGACCUGUGAAACAAAUAUUCAUUAUUCUAGUCCUGAAAGGAGAAAUAAAGUUUAUGUUGCUUGAUCAAUCCCAUGUACACAUGAAGUUCACAUUCUUCUAUACCUGGGUUGGUCAUUUCGGACAAAGGACCAGUUGAGAAUGGUGACAGGCCCCGGAAGCAUUCCCUUCAUAGGGCCAGUAGCCAUGCUCUGGACCGCGGUGGACCAGAAGACAUACGGUAGCUUGGGGCGGCUCACAUCACCAUAGAUGAUGGGUGGUUUCACACAACGAGAUCCAUAAGAUUGCACCCACCCAUUAAUGGUGAGGGCAAAACCUGACAACUGCUCCCCAAAGUAUUCAACCAUAUCGUUCCUCUGCAUUGGAUACAUCCAGAUCAAGAUGUUCAAGGAAGAAAACAUAGCUCAUAAGAUGCUAUCUAUCUAUCCGACAUAAUCUGUCUUAAUUACAGUACCAGAUUCAAAGACUUACCUCAGGCUCCCCAUAAACCAAGACAUCUAUGUCAAGCUCCUCUUGAAGCUUGACAACUUUGUCAAUUUCCUCCUUGAUGGCCUUAAUGUAUUCUUCCUCAGAGAUCCUAUAAUGAAGUGCAGUCAGGAGAAUGACGAGGUUCAUAACAAAAAAAAAUAACAGCCCAUGUCAUAUCCAACAUCUGUUUAAUUAGAAGAGGAAGAUCUAAUUUACUCACUUUUUGGCCUUGUACUGAGAGUGUGGACUUCUGAGUUCCUUGGCGAUGGAGUCAAUGGUGGCUGCUGGCAUGACCAAAUUAAGCUUCUUUUGCUGAGCAUCAAAUCUAGCACUCACAGUUGUGGCACGGCGAUGAUCAGAGCCCCUCAAAGCAGCAGCCUGAGAGAGACGAGAAUAUCAAGAUUUCAAGAGACCAAUUAUAUAAUUUUAAUCGAUAUUUGGAAUGCAUAAAAUACGAAGGGUAACUAAGCAGAGGAACAUACAGCCUUUUGGACAGCUUCGUUUGUGACUCUUGGAGAGGACUUUCUUGAGGCCUGAGCAGCGGCAUUAGCUGAGAAGAAUGCCUAAAAAGAGAGCCAUUGGCAGUCAGCAUUGAAAUACCCUCUCACGACAUUAGUAAUCAAUAUUUGGAAGUUGAAAAUCAUGCUUGACAAACACACUAAAGGUGCUAGUUAACAGGCUUAGUUUAAAUUAAGAACUUUGCAUCCUAGUGAUUGUAUUUUCCCAGUCGUUGCAAUAUGUAUGUACCUCUGUACAGCCAGUAAUUAAAGAGACCCACUACAAGUUAACCACAUCGGUUUCUGCCUAUGACAAUUCGGAAUAGAGUAGAAGCAACUAAUUCUAGAAAAUAAGCUAACGAUAUGGAUUAACACCACUUUUAAGACUCCCUAACAGAUAACAAACCGUACCUCAUCCUUUUGUCCAGCCAAUGCCUUGGCCAAGGCAUUGACCUCAACGACCUUCUGAGCGGCAAAUGCAAGCCAUGACUUGAUUUCAUCAUCCAACUUGGUCUCAUUAACUAGGUCAACAGGAACGUGCAAAAGAGAGCAGGAGGUGGAGACCACAAGUUUGUCUGCAGAUAAAUGAGGAAUUUCAGAUACCAACUUAAUUAAAUGACAAACAGAUCAUCAAAACACACUAUUUGGAAAAGAAACACAUGCGGAAAGUAAAACCUUUUCCCACAAUGAUCUCGAGGGCAAGGAGCGUGCUGAGCGAUCCAGCAAGAUCAUUAGCCCAGAUGUUCCUCCCAUCAACAACUCCAGCAAAGAGAUACUUGCCUGUGGGGAACCCACCCUUGAUUAAAUCGAGGGUCUGUGUUCCAUGGACCAAAUCAAAUCCAAAUCCAGUGACACCCUUCAAGGAAGUAAGAACUUUAUAUGCCUCAGCAGGAACAUCAGCAAAGUAUGUUUCGACGACAACAUUCACGCCAUAAAGACUUGAUUCUAGUUCCGAGUAUGCUUCGGUGAAAGCUUGCAGUUGGUGAGAAUCAAGAUCCAACACAAGGGUGGGCUCAUCAAACUGAAUCCAUGAAGCACCGGCUGCCUUAAGUUCGGACACGACUUCCCUGAAUGGUUCAUCAUUGGUCAGGAAAUGCAUUCCAAACAUGCGCAAAUGAAAACUGCUAGAGAAGAGUUCAAUUAAAUCUCACCUGUAGAUGGGAAGUAUUUUCCCGAGGAGUGACAGAGGAGAAAAGGCCCUGUCAACACCCUCCGCAUGCUUGGAUAGCAGCAGAUAGGAGACCGGGCCAAGAAGGACCGGAACAGUGUCUACUCCAAGCUGGAAAUUAGCAAAUAGAUUCAAGAACGGAUAGCUUUAAGUAAUGCACGCAACGGCACAAGGAAGACGAGAAUGUACGAGCUGAGAAAAGAUAUUCGAAAAACAAAGAAUUUAACUACAACCGACAAAAGAGUCAGAAUCUGUCGUCGCUGUCGACGAGGACGAACGCCCAGGACGGGGGAGCUCGAUCGAAAUUUAGGGCUGGGCUUGGCCUCGGAUCAGCCACGAUCGAGGUCCAGCGAGGCAAGCGGCGGCCGUAGAUGGUCUGCAGGAGAGUGGACGACCGUCGUUGGCGGCCACGCGUCGAGCGUUGCAGAGGCUGGGAAUUGCAAGAGGGGAGAGUCAGGGGAUGGUCAGGCAGAUCCGGAGGUGGGUCGUGGGGUGGUCGGCGACGUCGCAGCCAAGGGACGGCGGAGGCGGAGGCGGAGGCGGCGGCUGGGAAAGCAGUGAGACGGAAAAGAGAGGGAGGAGAGAGAAUUGCACGGGGGAAUUGAAAUGAACUUUCGGAACAUUUCUUACGCCUCUUUUUCCACUCAUAAUUUAGAUAAAAUGCUCCUUAAUAAGAAGCCCCUCGAGAACGCGACACGUUUCCCGUGUGGGCCCAAAUUAUCAGGUUGACUCUUUUCUCUCUUCUGUCCUCUCUCUCCUCGCUCCUGGCUGCCCGCGCUCUCUCUCUCUUCUGUCUCCUGCACGUUCUCACGUCGUCUCUCCUCUCUCCCCACUUUUCUCUCUCUCUCUCUCUUCUGGCUGCACGCUUUCUGUCUCCUCUCUCUUCUCUCUCCCCAGCACACUUUCUCUACGCUGGCGUGGACGAACAACCGACCACCUCGACCUCCGCGGCGACCACCUCCUCCGGCAUGUCCGGGAAGGUGCACGAGUGCUCGAUCUGCCACAAGAGCUUCCCCACCGGCCAAGCUCUCGGCGAGCACAAGCGGUGCCACUACGAGGCCCCCCACUCCUGACUCCUCGGUCACCGCCGCCUCGGCUGCCAACUGGGUGAGCGUCUCGGAGGGCGAGGGUCCACUCACACGCAGUGCUAGGGGCACCGCGAGUUCGAUCUGAACAUCCCAACACUCUCGGAGUUCUCCCCCCGAUACGCAGUCUCCGGCAGCGUGGACGACGAGGUGGAGAACCCACGCCCCUCCAAUAAGCCCCAGUGCCUAGCGCCGGUGAAGACAGAAGCGGCCAAAAAUGGGUCGGAUUGAAAACGCACAGAAACCCACACAAAGAAAACCGGCGAUCGGAAUCGAAACGGGAAAUCGAUCGAGUUUCAAAUAGGAAUAGAGACGAUUGUUUUUGUUCGUCUCUUCUUGUUUGCCGGGUGAUGCUGGAGUUCUUUUUUGGGGGAGAGAGUUUUUUGGGGGAGAGAGAAGAGCGAGAGAGGUUAGCCCGACAAUUUGGGGCACACGCGACACGUGUCGCGUUCUCGAGGCCCUUCUUAUAUGCCAACGAGACGUACCUAAUAUUUUGUCGCAUCUCAAGCAUUUCUUUAUUCUCUUUCUUUUGUUCUCUUGUUUUGGGGCCCGACUUUCCUUCCUAUUCAUCCCCCCCUUCACCAUCUCUCUCUGACUCAGUCGAAUGAUGUUUUUCUCGAUCUAAGAGUAUGCAAAGGAUGUUAAAAGGAAGGAAAAAGCUUCCGACCAAAAAACAAAAAUCCGAUAGCCCGACUCGAUUCGUAUUCGGUUCCGCUUGCAUGCGGAUCGGGACACUAAAACACAAACAAUUCAUUUCUGGGCCAGGCCGAAUAUAACCCAAUCGAACAGGCAGCUGUGACAGCAAGAACGAGGAAAUAAUAAAAGACCAGCGUUUACCUCCUUGGCCUCCCUGUAGUCGGUGACAGCCUUGCGAGAAGCGUAAGAGAAGUUGACAUCAGGACCCAAUUCAGACAUAACGUACUGGCUGAACGUAUGAGAUAGAUAGGUUAAUUAAACCGUCAGACAAAAAAUAAAAUGAAAAAGAUUCAUUCAUACUUGUCUGAGAUGCGCCACUUACUAGUUGGUGUCAAACCACCUGGCCAUUUCCAUAGCAGGGACGGAGGCGUUCCCUCUAGCCAUCGAGAAGUAAACAUCGAAUCCAAUCUCUCCACCAUUCCAACCAUAUCGGGCGGGAACAGCACCGAGCAUCAUGGUGGUGUCAAGCACCUGAUCGUAGUAUGAGAAGGUGUUGCUGGGAACGUACUCGAUGCCGGCACCGGUCAUCUGCUUCCAGAUAUAUGUCCUGAGAUCAACCGCAACUUUUUGCAACUCCUCCGCACUGCUCUUUCCAUCCCAGAACGAUUCCAGGGCGAACUUUAGCUCCCUCCUGGGGCCUAUGUGAGGAUAUCCAGCAACGUGGGACGCCAUUUUUCUGGAUCAUCAUACAAACAUCAACUACAGAUAAGUAACCCGGUGUAACUCACCUAGUUACCAAGUCUGAGAAAAUGGAGGAAUGCGAGCGACGCAAGGGUCCUACCUUCGUGGAGGCUGAACCAGGACCAUGAACUGUAGUCUUAAUGCACUGUCGAGGGUGAAGGAAUAGGGAGAGAGUAAGAAGAAAGAGAACGAAGCUACCCGGAGGACUGGCAAUAUAUAGCCAAGUUUUAGAACUUUAUAUAAUCCCUGGGUUGGCGAUCCAAAAUUCCGUGGAGUCGUACAUAGCCAAGCCAAGUUAAAUAGUUUUAUAAUCCUGAGUUGUAAUCCAUUGGAAUUCUUUUAUUUAUACCUAAGUUGACAACGGGACUGAUCCGGUCUCUUUCGUUCUGCGUUACCAGAACGAAUGGGACCAGAGCAGCUGGUAAUACGGAUCGGAAUUCUUUUAUACCUGAGUUGGUGGCUUGAGUUGCAUAUAUAUAUAUAUACAAAUCAAUUCUGACCCCUUGGAUUAUAAAAAUUCUGUUUUCCAACCCUCCGUACGUCUCUUGUCAGGCUCGGGUCAGUCCCCCGUCAACUCUCGUCUCCUGAAGUACAUAUGCUAAAUAGAAAAGAGGAGAUGGAGCUACACUGCACUGCACUGCACCGCGCCCCCGCCCCGAUUGGGGCAGAAGGGUGUGCCGUCAAGGAAGUAUUUUGAUCUCCGUCCUUAAUUUUUUUUUUUCAAUUUCCUUUUCAUCUCGUAUAAUAACGCUGAUGCCUUCACGGUGCGGGGGGCAUGAUGAACUAUGAUAUUUAAGUUCGACUCAUUAAACGUGCGGGUCAGAUUGAAUUUAGAUUGGAUGGAAAAUAGUUCGAUCUAAAUUAAUUCAUUUAAUCCACUAUGUAAUAUAAAUCUAGUGAUCCAACACAAUUACUAUAGUUAAAACACUUCUUUACUUGAUUAACUAAAUAUAAACUCAUACCCAAAAUUAAGGUGAGAUUGCGGAGCGAGCAUGCGUGAGAUCAAGUAAUGGUGAGAGAGAGUGAUGAGAGAAUCGUAAAAGUAGAUUAAAUCUUAGUAAGUUAUGAACUCAUUUAACACCUAUGUUAUCAUGAGUUUUACUAACUAGUUUGGUAAUUGAGCACUAUGCUUUACAAACAUCCUAUAGUUAACAGGCCUAGUUUCAAUUAAGAACUUUGCACCCUAGUGACUGCAUUUAUCCAGUUGUUGCGAUAUGUAUGUGGCUCUGCAAGCCAGUAAUUAGAGAGGCCCACCACAAGUUAACCGCAUCGGUUUCUGCCAAUGACAAUUCGGUGUAGAGUAGAAGCAACUAAUUCUAGAAAAUAAGCUAGCGACAUGGAUAACCACCACUGUUAAAACUACCUAGCAGCAGCAAUGACAGUGCGGGCAUAUUAUGCUGCUUUUCAGCAUCAUCUUUAACAACACGGGAGAAAAAAAAAAUGGAUCUCUGUUAUUAUUAUUAUUAUUUUUUAUUUCGGAGAACGAAAGAAUAGAAUUAGAUGUUAUUUAGCCAUAUGAUUUUCCAUAGAUCUCCAAGAGACGUUGUGUGAUGUACAUUGAAAGCAUACAAAAUGAAGCCUUUGUCGGAUCUCUAUGCACAACGAGGAUGAUGAACAUUCAUCAAUUUUUACAAAAUCCUACGAUCCUCGCAUCGUUAUCCGGCCCAAGAAAAAAGAGGAAAACGAUUUUACAGUCGAUGGACGCGCGCGGCUCGAGGCGGUUCAGGCUCCCAACACGGCCAUCGCCGCCAUGGACGACCAAUCGAAGCUGCUCCGCAUCGGUCUCUCCCUCGCCUGCUUCUUCUUCAUCGCCGUCUUCAUCUUCAACCCUCCGUUGCUGAUCUCUUCGUCCCUCAGCUCCACGUUUUAGCGAACCAAGCGACCCCGCCCCCUUGCCUGCCCCCGUCCUUAAGCGCGCCGCCGUGGACGAGGAUCCUCAUGAUCCUGGCGUACUGCAGGGAGUCCGCCACCUGCAGCGCCGUCACGCCCCUGUUCGUCCUCGCCUCCACGUCGGCCCCCUUCUUCACCAGCAGCUCCACCACGUCGAACUGCCCCGACUCCGCCGUGCAGUGCAGCGCCGCGUAUUCGUCCUCGUCCCUCGCGUCCACGUCCACGCCCUUGUCGAGGAGCGUCCUCCCGGCGUCGGCUUGGCCCUUGAACGCGGCCCGGUGCAGCGCGGUCCAGCCGUGCUGGUCCAGGCCGUUCACGGCGGCGCCGCUCUCCAGGAGCCGGUUGAUCGCCCGGACGUCGCCCUUCCGGGCCGCGGCGCCGAGCCGGGCGGGAGGUGGUAGGUGACGUCGACGGUGAGGGUCUGGUGAGGGGGGAUGAUCCCGGACUGGGGCCGGACGGUGUAGCGCGGCUUGUUCAGGGGCUGGAGCCGGAAGGCGACCGGCAUGGUGUACAUGACGGUGCGGAGGGUGAGGUGGCCGGAGCACUUCUGGCCCGCCUCGAUCCGGACCGCCACGACGUUCGACGGCUCCAAGCCUAUGAGCCGGUCCAUGGUUCGAAUCUUUACGUCCGGAUGCGUUCGCUCUUUGCGGUUGUUUUUCUCUCCUCUUCUCUUUUGAUUAAUUAAGGAAGUGUCGAAGGUUGGGGAGGGGAGGCCGGCGCGAAUGGGAGAGCGCCACAAGGUGGUGUAGAAUUCGGUGCGGAGUGCGGACUCGUUCCUUUCGGCGUCUAGACUUCCUCAAGACACAGCCGAGUAGAAGUUAAAGAAGGGAGAAAACUGUAAUUGAAAAUUGAAAAUUGAAAAUUGCGGAGUCAUUUAGACCAUAGCAACUGAAAAUUGCAAGUUAAUGAGAAAUGUGCACGUCUCUCUUCUCUCUCUCUCUCUCUCUCUCUCUCUCUUUGCAUUUUCUGAAGUAUACUAUGAUGUGGGCGUUUAAAGGAUCUUCUCUGGAAACGGACUGGGCAUAUAGGGGUUAAAAAGGGUUAGAUUCUCUUGAUUUGUUUUUAGCGCAAUAAUGGGUUUUUUUGUUAGCAAACUAAUUCCGCAAAGUACGAGAGGUUAGCAUAACGAUGGUCUUGUCUAUGUUGAACAUUCUUGUGUGGGGACCAGAAUUUUUAGGUUUUUCCCCUAGCCCUUUUGGCCACGAUUAGGAGUAAGUUUCACUUUCAUAGACCAAGUACAUGAAGGACUAGGGAGUGGUUGAUUCGACAGUUUUUUUUUUUUUUGGGUCAUUCACUCAAGAAAAUAGAACACUAAAGACCAACACAUGCAUUAGAAGUUGGCUCAUUGAAUUAUUUGAAAUAUGUGAGGAGUGAACCUUUUUUGUUUGUUAAUGAAGUGGUUUUUCUGUCGAUAAUAAGUAAUAUGUGAACAAAUCAACCUAGACAAGGGACAAAUCUACCUUCGAUGAUACAAUAAUAAUAUCAUUUAGGAGGAGUACCUUUUCUUUUAGUUCUACCCAAUACAACAAGCACAACAGUCAAAUUUGCACUAGAAUGGCCAAGUUUACAAAGAAAAUGAUGGAGUGUAAUUAUCAUAUAAAAGUGUACUCUCUCAUAUAUUAAGUUAAUGUGAAUUAAGCAUACUCCAAAUGGCUAGCUAUCAAUUAUUAACAUGGAAAGUAAUUUAUGCUACGCCAUUGGUAUUUUAGAAGAGAUAACAUUCUACCAUCUUUGGUUUAAAUAAUCAUCUAGUUCAAUUUGAUGGGAAAACUGAACGAUAUAUAUUUUUGUCCAUCAAGUAACAAUUGUGCAUUUACCAACAAUGUGUGUAGCUUUGAUGGUAAGAAAGUUCACGCUGUUCCUUCUUUUCCUUAUGAACUUGGAUUCAAGUAUUAUUGGGAGCGGUUAAGAGUAAAAUCUUUAAUACACCAAGUUGAAAUAGUGAGAGCGUGUCCUUAAAAUAGCUUGACUAAGUGGAUGAGUUGAAUACGCAAAAUUGAUGGGGAUACUACCCAACAACUAAAUCGAAAAGAAAAAAAAAGUGUUAUUUUUUUUUUUUUGUAAAAUCCUUUAAAAACUGCUUGUUUUAUUAUAUUGGGAUAAAGUUAACACUUUCUUCUCUCUGUUUUUUCCUCCUCUUUUUUUUUUUCGCAUUUCACUGGCAAAAAAGUGUAGGACCUUUGAAAAUCAAGGUAUUAGUCAUUUUACACAUUUUUUUUUAUGAAUCAAUCAUAGUUUGCUCAGCUCGUUUAGGCAUGAAAGUUUUUUUUUUUUUUUUUUGUGGAAACUUUUCAAUAUUUUUUCCUUUUCUUUAAGAGAUUAAAUCAGAAAAUUGCAGGUGUCCACGACACUUGCGGAGAACUUGAAGUCACUGGGCAAUGAUCACAAGAGAGACCGAGGACAAAAGCAAAGGUGGGGCCCUAGUGCUAAAACAAAGUUUUCUUAACAAUUUAUUAACCGUGAAUACACUUCGAAAUUACACCUAAUGCACAAAAUUCCCUUUAUUAUAAUAAUAAUAAUUUUUUUUUGGCCGUUAGAUUGCUUUUUUAAUUUACUAAGGGAAACGGUCACCAGGUUCGAUGCUAACAGCAUAUGGAAGAGGAAUAACCGAAAGCAUCCUGGUGUUGCGGGAGGCUACGAGAGGAGACAACAACAUAGACAAAAGGCCCUCCUCCAACUGACCGAACGAUGCCGUUUGUCCUGUUCGUUUGAUUACGUCCUAACGAUCCCCCAAAUCUUAGGUGAUUGCGACAGAUGUCGUUUGGUAUUUUCCACCAAAAAGCAAUGGGCCUUCUCUUUCGCUAUUAUUUUCCCCUUUUCUCUUGUUUUUUCUGCAAAAAAAGGGACUUCUUUAAUUUGGAAACCACCUGAAUAUUAUUAAUUUAUAACAAUCGGAAUGUUUGCCAUUUUAGCAGAAUUCAGGAUUGAUGUAACCCAAUGCAUGAAAAUUAUCUAAAAAGUCCUAAACCUAUUGCACUUUUGCCAAUUAAGUUAUAAACCUUUUAACUUUGUCAAUUGAGUUAUAAACUUUUUGAUUUCUUGCCGAUUUAAUUCAUCCGGUCAAUUUUAGCCGGAAAAUGCUGAUGUGGACACUGGCAGUGCCAUGUAGGACUACUGGCGCUAACGUGGAUAAUUUUUAAUAAUAUAUUAUUAUUAUUUUUGAAUUUUUUUUUUCUGUUUUUUCCUUCUUAUUUUUUUUUUUUUUUUGGCUUUCUUGGUCUUUUCCGGUGGCCGGCCAUCGGACAUCGGCCACAACCAACUAGUUGGCCUCGCCUGCCAUAGGCGAGGCCCGAUCGGGUGAGGAGGAGCUCCGGCGAGGGGAGCCCUCGCCCAGGUGCGGCCCGACAAGGGUGCGCAGGGCAAUCACGCCCUCGUUGUUUGAGCUAUGGGAUCUAAGGCAUUCUUUGGAAUAAAAUCGGCAAUUGCUUGCUCGUCAACCUCAUCUCUUAGUAGUGCCAACAUUCAGAAUAAGCAUAUGAAUGGAUUAACAGACAAAAGGAUACAGGNNNNNNNNNNNNNNNNNNNNNNNNNNNNNNNNNNNNNNNNNNNNNNNNNNNNNNNNNNNNNNNNNNNNNNNNNNNNNNNNNNNNNNNNNNNNNNNNNNNNAACAAUUCAGAGUAGUAUGGAUAGAUUCCCGCUCUCGCUCAUCGCUUGCCUAGGGGCGAGGGCUGGUCUCGCUAGAUCUAGUUUGGGUGAGGCCGACGCUCACCUGGGCGAGGGCUCUCCUCGCCAGAUUUGGCAAGGCCGGCCCUUGCCCAGGCGACCCUUGCCGGGUUGCGCUUGGGUGAGGGCUCCCCUCAUCGGGGCUCCUCCUUGCCCGGUUGGGCCUCGCCUGUGAUGGGCGAGGCUAGCCGGCUGGCUGUGGCUGGCAACUGGAAAAGGCCAAGAAAGCCAAAAAAAAAAAAAAAAAGGAAAAAAAGGAAAAAAAUAAUAAAUAUUCAAAAAAAUAUUCAAAAAAAUAUUAAAAUAUUAUUAAAAAUUGUCUACAUUAGCGCUGGUAGUCCUACGUGGCACCGCCAACGUCCACGUCCACAUUUUCCGGCCAAAAUUAGCUAGAUGAACUGAAUCGGCAAGAAAUAAAAAUGUUUAGGACUCAAUUGGCAAAGUUAAAAGGUUUAUAACUCAAUGGACAAAAGUGAAAUAGAUUUAAGACUUUUUGGACAGUUUUCCCCAUUAUGUACCAAACCACAAUUCUCUCGCUUGUUGCGAGAUUAUAAAUUCUCUCUCUUUUAGGGACGAUGUUAUUGUGAACGUUGGUCCAUGAUAUGAAAAUCAUACCAUGUAUUUGAGAUUCAAAGCGGUGGCCUUGUGCGUUCAAGAAAUGGCUUACACAUCCUUUAUCUUCCCUGAAAACCCAGAAAAGCGACAUGACUUGCGGGUCAAGCCUUCGAAAGAAUAUUCAUGGGUUUAACUCCCCCUGUCUCCCAUGCUCCUACCUGAAAUUUCAAAAAUAAAAAAUGACACGAUUCACGUUGUUUCUGUCAUGCCACUGAAAUUGUAUUCAUGGUGCCAUUCUUUUGAUUCAAAAUAUGUUUCUACCGGUGUAAAAAUCAUAAGUUUUCUCCCAUUCAAUGUAGAGAUUUGGGGUGUUGAAUUCUUUCUCAUAGUGCCAUAUCCGUAUGAUAAAAGGCAAGGCAAUGAUAGUAGUCCUCUAAUUUUCAUGAUUUUUAAUUUUGGAAUGCUGAUGCGACUGAUAUGACGAUUUUAACCGUUUUAAAUGUAAUGAAAAUAUAUCAAUAUCCUAUAAUUUAUUGUGAAAUAAUACGAACUUUCAAGAAAAAGAAAAGAAAUAAAUAGUUGCAAAAGUGUAAAUUAAUACGCAACAAUAUAGGAUGGAAUUCUCAAUCCAACAUUCGAACAUGUUUUUAAUGUAUAAGAGUUUAAGAUGUGACUAAUCGGAAGCUUAUUUCAAAUAUUCUAUGCAUAAUGCAGGAGACGAAAAUUGUUUUUCAUCUGUGUGAAGAAUCUCCAUCCACGACAUCCCACGUGAAUCGUAUCAUUUCUUAAAAACCUAAUUUUCUCUUUAAUUUAAAUUUAUGACAACGAUAUCACAUAACAUAGUUUUACGGUUCACCAAUUGUCAAACUAAAAUUCUAAAUACAUCGGACAGAUUGGGUACCGCGUCUUUAAAAUUGCACAGGAGAAGUGAACUAGUUGCGAAAACCAGAUUUAUACACCCCCGAUCGCCAUUCAAAAAACUUAAAAUUUGUCGAAUUUCCUAAGUCCUACUUUGUAGCUAAAGAGGAAUUUUUUCAACCCAUCGCUUGUCUUUGCUUUGGUAGGGUCCAACAUAUUAAGUCAUCGAAUCGAUGUGCGAACGAUUCGAGUAGGAUUUGUUGCGGAGGAGACGAAUAGAAUCAGGUCGACCAUGCUUUACAAAGAGCCAAAACUGUCGAUGUUGUUUGAUUAAUUUCUAGUACUACUAUGUAAUUAAAUACUUAUAAUAGCGAUAGCUUCGAAGUUUACGAAGUCAAACGAUACGAAUUUUUAAUUUUCAAGCUAAAGUAGGAGAUCAAAAUGAUGCACUAAGUUAUUUGGCCUUUUACAAGAUUGGUUGUUGUCAUCUGAUGCGUAUAUGUCGGAAUAAUUUAGUUUAAGCCCGUAAGAGUUCCUAGUUCGACUUGGCUUGGUGGUAUAGGAGUUUCUUGAUGUAGAAUUAUGCUUUUCCAUGCCAAAAGACGGAAAUUUCUUUUUGGAACCGAAAUAUCUUCACAAAUAUUUGUUAGUGUUUGUUGACGCUAAUGACCGAAUUUUGGUUAUAAUCGACGAGUAUCAAGCUCAGUUGAAGAAAGUAAAAGUUGGUCAAAACGGAUGUCAUCAAUAGAAAUUACCUUCGAUAACUUGAAGAAAAAUCAAUAAUGUGCCAAUAAAGUUAUCGACAGCGAAUAGUGCGGAGAUUAUCGCCAAGAGCCUACGCCAAUCAACAAUCGAUAGAUGAAGUCAUCAACAGCAAAUAAUUACAGAUUUUCUCGAGUAUCUAACUAGUGUCAUUUUUUAACAGAACAAAGGUUUGCCAAACAUCACUCAAAGACAAAGAUGGUGGAUUGAACAAGCAUAAAAUUGCCCAAUAGUUAUGUCUAUAAUCUCGGAACUUGUAAACCUAGCGUGGAUAAUUAAGUAGUAGAUUGGGUCAUUAAAGCUCAACCUCAUGAAACUCUCCCUUUGAGCUGGGAGUUACUCAGACUUUUCUUUCAUAGCAUGGGCAAGUUCAGUGCGGAGGACCUCGACAACAGCAACCAUGUUAUCGAGCGCACGUUUGACUCCAUCGUGUUCACGAGUCUUGAAUUUGUAGUCAGGGUUAAACGACAAUAUGUUUGUUGCGAGCUUCUUGGUCAUACUGUCAGCAAUCUGUUCGUAUUUUGGGAGACAGGAUGUCAUAAACGCCGGGGCCAAUCCCAGCACGAUACUUGACUCCCUAGCGAAAAACUAACUCACCGGAGCAACAGUUCUCGACUGUGAUGACAUCAGCAUCCAUGUUGAUGAUUGAGAGGGGGAAGUCAUUGAACUGGGAGUUGUAUGUGUGAGUGUGGAUCUACCAAUUAGUAACAGCCACCAACUGAAAUCAGUAUACGUGAGAAACGGAUCUUCCCACAUAAAAAAAAAAAAAUGAAAAGAGAGAAAGAAAAGUAAGGGAACUAUGAACGAACCUGGGUAGUAUCCUUGACACCACAGUUAGUGAUUCUAAAAGAGCGGACAGCCCAAUCCAAGUAGGAAGCUUGUUCAUACUUUCUUAGUGGCAGACCAUCUCUCAAAGCUAGCUCAUCAAUCUGAAAAACAUUGAUCCAUGCCUUCUCGAGAUCUUCAACUUCUUCCUUGAUGGCCAAUGCAAUUUGGUAGCAAGUUUCAAACCUGUGAACUGAAUCUUUAUUAUUCUAGUCUUGAAAGGAGAAAUAAAGUUUAUGUUCUUUGAUCAAUACCAUGUACACAUGAAGUUCCCAUUUUUCUGUAUUUGGGUUGGUCAUUUCGAAUGAAGGACCAAUUGAGAAUGGUGACGGGGCUUGGAAGCAUUCUCUUCAUCGGGCUAACAGCCAUGCUUUGGCCCGUGAUGGAAAGGAAGUGUGGAGGAUUGGUAUUUAUAGAGCCCGAGGUGGGGUGGAAAGGUCAAUUCGCUUCAAAUAAUGUAAAAAGACAAAGGUGAAGAGGUGAGGAGAAAGGAUGAAGAUAAGUAGAGGAGAAAAGUUAAGGAGGAGGAGGAGAGGUAUGAUGUGGGUUUUGUUCCCUUUUAAAAAUACUUAAUUUUGGGGAAGGGCAUACCAUUUGUUUGACGAACGGAGAUAAGUUGAGGGGCAACAGAGGGAGAAGUUGGUCCAUCCGCUAAAAAAAAAUAUGUUCGAGUGUAAACAAGGAGACAGAACGGGACGAGGAAAAGGGAGUUGUGGGCUGGAUUUUACAGCUGUGUCAAGGUCAAUGAUUGGUACUUGAUGGUCUUGUAAGUUGAAUGUUUCAUGUUAAUUUGCGUGACUAUGAUUUCUCCAUUGGAAGUGUAGGAAGAAAGUCGGCGGAAAAUGACUUACUUUUUUCUGUUGCGCAAUGAGCAAUUUACCCUGGAACGACUGUUGAAUUGCGGAUGAAUCACAAACAAUAUUACUUCACGUUGGUCUGAAUGCAAUCACAAGGAAAACAUCCAAUUUUCACAGCUUAAAUGCCAAUUGUUUCGUAAAGUAGAAAUGGAAUGCCUUAUUUUUCUUUUGAUAGAAAAUGGACAAGAAAAGGAGAAUGCUUUCUUUUUGAGCGUAUGUUUUGCCAACAGUACUAACGGUUAUUUUCGGAAGAAUUUUAUGACUUUCUCAUACCCUUUCAAAGGGUGUCUUUUCCAUCAUAGCAUAUCAAGACGAAACGGUACGUAUUGCACCCCAUCAUGGACGUACUAAUAAAGUACUACAUCUUCCAUUCGGACAUGAUGGACUUGAUAACACUCUAUCAAGAACAUAAGGUAUUCAGCAUUUAUCAACUUUAGAAACAAUUCAUACUACCAGUGAGUACACUUGCACUUGGGAGCUCAAAUUAUGCACCUAUUAGGGAUGACAUAAUGGCUACAACCCUAAAAAGAAAUAAAUAAUUGAUGUCUCACAGUACCCCAGACAUAUUUGUCUCACAGUACCCCAGACAUAUUUUGUUACAUCAAUCCAAGUACACCUAUUCCUUAAAGGCUAUACUUGAUUAUUCUCAAAACACCAUAUAUUUACAAUCAUAUUCGCAAUUACAGAAGGUGAUAUAAUUAGUCGAUCAGUAAGUACAUGUGAUAGAUGUAAAACAACAAUAGUCUUCCUUCGCACUCAUGUCUCUCUCCAUUUCAGAACAAUUGCUUUCCUAUACACGUUCCAUAAAGCCAUAUCUAUUCAUGACCACCAGUAACAUGCUAAAAUAGCAAUAUUGAUCUUUCACUUCGAGAACAUAGUCAGAAGUAACAUAUGAGUAAAUUAUAAAUUACCGUAAGGGCUCACACGAUGAGUAAAUAGGAAUAAUUUCACCCACCUUCUCUUGUUGGUCGUACAAUGCACAUGUAGUAUGAAUUACAAGUUAUAAUGGACUUCUCUUUCUAUAAGAGCGUAUAUCAUUUAUUAAAUAUAUGCACUAUACGGAUCUUUGUCUAAACAAAGUCACAUGCUUUUCAAGUACUCAAGUUUAGCUAAAGUGCUAUAUCGGAUCGAUUUCUAUAGCACCCAAUUAAGUACUCACAUCCGGCAUCUUUCAAGUAUACAUGAUUGUGGGACUAUCAUGUUCGGUCUUAUUAUAUAUAAAUCAUAGACCUCAUCUUGACUCCAAUCAAGGUGACAUUUUAUGUACUAAACUUGCUUUCAGCAUUUAUUUGUACAUAACGUUUCAUCUCAACGUACUAACUAUAACACUUGAGGUGAUUGCUUGUGUGAGUGAGUCAAUUAUUGCAUGCUAACAUACUUUUCAAUAAUAUAUGUGUGUUUGUGCUAGUCUCAUAAUUGAUUUGUACUUAUUGAUAAAACAUCAAGUCAUUAAUAAAUAAACAAGUACAAUACAUAUAUCCACAUAUACAUAAACCAAUAAUCAUCUACAAUAAUACAUAUCAUAUUCUACGUAAUCUUAGUAAUAUCCUAUGGAUUAAGAAUAUGUCUCUAGGAACAUCUUUCGUAAAUGGAUCGGCAAUUAUUUUAUUAGUUGAAAUGUAUUGUAAGAUCAUUUAUUUCUGCGUUAUUAUAUCUCUGAUGAAAUUGUUUUUUAUGUUAAUGUGUUUCGUCCUUCCAUGAUACUUGGGAUCUUUUAUAUAGGCAAUGGCUGCUUGAUUAUCACAAUAAACUAUCAUCGGUCUUAGAACCUUAGUGAUAGUGGCUAAAUUUUCCAAGAAACGUUUUAGCCAUACUACUUCUUGCACUGUGGCAAAACAUGCAAUAGAUUUUGCCCCCAUUGUAGACAAGGCCGUGCAUGUCUAUUUCUUAUUAUUCCAAGAAAUUGCACCUCCAUUGAACAAGAACGCAUAUCCAUAAGUUGAUUUACGCUCAUCGAGGUCUCCACCCCAAUCAACCUAUAAAUAGCCUAAUAGGUGUAAACUAUUCAUUUGGUAACAAAGUCGAUAAUUCAUGGUGCCUUUUAAGUAUCUCAGGAUCCUCUUCACUGCUUUACAAUGUGCUUAACCGAGAUUUGAUUAAUAUCAGCUCACCAAUCCCACGGCAUAACAUAUGUCGGGUCGAAUACACAUCAUAGCAUACAUCAAACUUCCAAUCGUACUUGCAUAAGGAACAAUUUCUAUCACUUUAUUUUAUUCUGGAGUCUUAGGACACAUCUUAGUACUUAGGCUUUCACUUUACAUGUCAAGGGUAUCAAUGGGAUUACAGUACUACAUAUUAAAACGUUCAAGAAUUUUCAUUAUAUAAGACUCUUGUGAUAAAGUAAGGAGUUUCCUUGAUUGAUCUCUUUCGAUCUUAAUUCCUAAUAUAUAAGUAGCUUCUCCCAUGUCAUUCAUUUCAAAAUUGGAGGACAAACAUUCUUUUAAGAUAAUAACCAAAAUCUUGUUAUUUCUGGCCAAUAGAAUAUUGUCCAUAUAAAGAGAUAAAAUCAUAAAUUUAUCUUUGGACUGCUUAACAUAUACAUAGUGAUCUUCUUCGAUCAUUAUGAAACCAAAAGUUGUUAUGGCUCGAUGAAAACGAAGAUACCACUGUCUAGAUAAUUGCUUAAGACCAUAUAUUGAGCGAUAAAACUUGCAAACUUUAUGCUUUUGACCUUUAACUAUGAAAAUUAUUGGUUGCUUCAUAUAAAUUUUCUCAUCUAGUUCUUCAUUGAGAAAUGCCGUCUUUAUAUCCAUUUGAUGUAAUUCAAAGUCCAAAUGUGCAAUGAUAACUAGGAUAAGGCGUAUUGAGGCAAACCUUAGAACUGGUGAAAAUGUUUCUUCAUAAUCUAUACCCUCCUGUUGAGUAUAACCUUUUGUCACAAGACGGGCCUUAUACUUUUUUAUAGAUCCAUCUAGCCUUCACUUAAUCUUAAAAACCCAUUUGUUUCCAAUGGCCUUGCGAUUAGGUGGUAGAUUAACUAAGUCCUAGACGUGAUUUGCCCUCAUUGACUCUAUCUCAUCUUCCAAAAUUUCUCUCUAUUCUUCCUUAUCAGAGGAUGAGAGAGCCUCUUGGACAAUCUUAGGCUCGGCAUCGUCUUUUUGAGCAAUCAUAAAUGCUUCCCAUUCAAUCUCAAAUCAACAACGGGGAAUACUUUUAUGAUUACUUUUACGUAACUGAAUUUCUCUUGAAUUCAGUUCGUCAUGUGAUGUAACACUCCUAUUAGGUCUUAUAUGUUGAGAUAAAUCUUAAUUUCCCUCUACAACAUUAGUGGAUGUGUUAUUAGAAUCUUUUAUCUCAUAUAAUUGGAAGUUCUUAUCAAUCUCAUCUCCACUAAGAAAAUUGUUCUCCAAGAACAUGACAUCUCGUGACUCCAUUUCGGUCAUGCUUUCAUAAGCUUGUUCACAUAUGAAGACAUACCCUUUGGAGUAUUCGGAAUAUUUUAUAAAGAUACAUUUCUUCUUUCUAGGACUUAAUUUGUCAUAUUUAUGAGAAGAAUCAUAAACAUAAGUUGCACAUCCCCAUGGUCAUAGAUUACUUAAGUCUGGUUUCUUACCAGUCCACAAUUCAUAAGGGGUGAAAGUGACCAAUUUUGAGGGCACUCGGUUAAGUACAGAGGCAACAGUUAAUAACACAUUUCCCUAAUAGGAGAUAGGUAAAUUUACUUGCGCCAUCAUAAACCUAACCAUCUUCAAUAUGGUUCUAUUCCUUCUCUCAGUAACCCCACUUUGUUGUAGAGUACCAGGAAUAGUCAAUUGUUGUACAAUUCCAUUUUUAUCACAAAAAGCCUUGAAUUGCUUAGAUAAAUACUUACAUCUAUAAUCAAUUCUCAAUGCCUUUAUUGUUUUGUUCAACUGAUUCUCUACCAUUGCUACAUAUUGUCUAAAGCAAUCUAAUGUUUCUGACUUAUGUGAGAUCAGAAAAAUAUAACCGAAACGUGUGAAGGCAUUUAUGAAAGUGAAGAAAUAUGAGGCUCCAUGCCUCGCCCUCACGUUCAAAGGACUACAAAUGUCAAAAUGUAUGAGUUGCAAUGAAAAUUUGAUUCUAGAUCCUUUACCAAAUGGUUUUCUAAUUGCUUUUCUUGCUUGACAAUGUUCACAUACGGGUAGAUUAACAUUAGUGAGUGACCCUAAAAGGCAUUAUCUAGCCAAUCUUUAUAUUCUUUGUAACCCGAUGUAAUCUAAUCUAGCAUGUUAAGUACUUGCAUCAAUUUCAACAUUAUUAGAAGAUGCAAUUAAAGAAAAACAACCAUCGACAUUAACAUUGUUUUGAUCAUAGUCAAUGUCUAACAUCAUAAAACCAUUCAUUACAUAACCUGAAUAAUAAUAAACUGUUCCAAACAAAAUGUCAACACAAUCACCAUGAAAAUUCAAUGUAUAACCUAGGCUAAGAAGAACAACUAUGGAGACCAAGUUUUGUCAUAUAGGAAUAAGUUUGACCACCACUAAAAUUAAUUUACAUAUACCGAUACCCUUCACUUCAAUUCUUAAGUUAUUCCUUACAUAUAUCCAUAUUCUUUUAGGCUAUUCAAAUGCCUCUCGGUAUCUAGUUACGUGGUCUGUUGCUACUGAGUUUACAGUCCACAUUGGAUAAGAUUCAACAAGUAUUAUAGUGCUAGAAAUAAAAGUAUUACUUAAAAUAAUUGAGUAAUAGGGUACCUCUUUCGGCUUAGUGCAUUCACGAGCAAAGUAACCCAUCUUGCCACAAUUGUAGCACUUCAUCUUGGUCUUGUCUUUCUUUUCACCAUGGUUCUUGUGUUGGAAUGUCUUAACCCUUUUAGGCACCUAAAAGGGCUAAGACAUUGUAGCACUUCAUCUUGGCGUUGCCUUUCUUGCCACCACGCUUCUUGCAUCGGAAUGUCUUAGUCAUUUGUUGUUGAAUUAAUGAUUCAUUUUGCGCUUGAAGCCCGAAGUUUUGCAUUUGCAUGAACUCGAUUCAGCAACAUAAAUAUAGGUAGAGGAUUUUGCAGCCUUUAGAUGCUCAUCCUCUAAUUCCAAAUGAUGCGCUAUAUCAUCAAAAGUGAUCAUAUUCUUAUUAUGUGUCAUGUUGAUCUUCAUAUGCUCCAAAUUAUCAGGAAGAAACCUUAUAACAGCCUAAACUUGUUGUUCAUCAGUAAAGGAGUGACCUGCCAACUUCAGCUCAUGAAUCAUGUUUGACAUAUUUCGAAGAUGCUGCCUCAUUGUUAUUUUUGGACGCUUUAGGUAUGUGUUAAACUUGAUGGUGAUGUACCCCAAACUUAUCUUUUAAAGAAACUCAUAUUGAUUGAGCUUUAUCAUAAUUUUCAAAUUUACACAUGAGAUCAUUUUGCAUAUAGCUUAGCAAUGUGAUGCGGGCAAUGCUCUUUUUUUCUUCUAAGUUUGAUAAGCUUCCAAAUCUCUUCUGUGUUGAGCUGAAGUUCCAUGCUCAGGUUCAUCCGUGGUGUGGUUGAGAGUUUCCAAAAUCUCUUGCUUCACAAGAAUGUACUGAACCUUUUAGUGUCAAAUAUCAUAAUUGUCACCGUUCAGCAUUUCACCCUUAUUGAGAUAAGCCAUAAUGGUAUUUGAUGCUAAAGUUAUAAUCAAUUGCUAUAACAAAUUAACAUAAUAAACGUAGAAUCAAUACUAGUACACUUUUCAAAGUAACACACAUAUUUAAUUUGCAGUAAAGACAAACUAAAUUGAUGAUAAUUCAAUAAAAGACACAGAAAUGAAAGUUCAUUAUGUUCCCAAUCAGCUUUUAUGUACGAUUGUUCUAUUAUCAUUAAUUAGUUUAAUUUGCGCAAAUUUUAAGUUUUAGGUGAGGACUCCUUUGAAUUCUACCAACCUACGAACUUCCACUAGAAAAAAUAAUUACAUGACCUCAUGUAAUUUAUACAUUUUUCUAUUAACACAAAAGCAUAGCAUGAUGUGAACUAACAUACAAAAAAAAAAAAAAAAUCAUGUGGUAACUACAAUCAAAACCGUAAUUCAACAUGUAACGGAAAAACAAGGAUUUCCUACCAUUGUUUGAAUUUUUUUGGAACUAGAAAAUUGCAAAUAUAUUAAACUAUAUACAUGCUACCAUCAAACCAAGCUCUACAGAGCAUAUAUGAUACUAUUUUCAUGUAUGCUAGCUAUAGUAUUUCCAAAAAAAUAAUAAAUACAGGCUAAAAAAUAAUAAAUAGUAUAUUUAAACCCCAAAAAUACGUGUAUUCAAGGUUUCCUACACAUUUUUAUACCUUUAAAAAAUUUUAAAAUAUAAAAUAAUCAUACCAUAGUGUAGAGCAUAUCUAUACGAAUCAAACGCUAUCGACCACGCUCCAAUCAAAAGUCUCACGCGCCCACAUGCGCCGCACAGGUAUGCGGGUCAAGUCUCGGGUUGGGUCGAGACCGGCUGGCUGACUGCUACUGGCGAUGACGUCAGCACGCAUUGGUUCGCCGACACGCGCAUGACGCUCAUGUGCUAGCAUACCUAGCGCAUUGGGCACGUGGCGCCCACACGCCGCGGCUUCUGGCCGCGCGUGUGGGCGCGUCCAGCCUCCUCCAGUGGUGCUCGACCCACCGUUGGACUUGUCUCAAUGAGUAUUUUCACGCUGUAUAUUUGAAAAUUUAUUUUGGCCGAAAAAAUGUUCUGAAAAAUGGCUAAAUCCGUAUGGGUGUACAUGGCCCUGAACCCGUUCUUUGCUUCAGUUCGUUUUCGACGAUUAAAAUUGCAUUUCCGAGCAAUAAGCAUCUAGACAGUGUAGAUUUCAAUCUCUUGAUCUCGAUUUCAAGUGGAAAAUGAGAAAAUUCGAUGAAAAAAUAAGAUAGAAAUCACAACUGGGCUCUGAUACUAAUGUUGGAAGAAAGUCGGCAGGCAACUUACCUCUUUCUAUUGCGCAAUGAACAAUUUACCUCGGAACGAUCCUUGAAUUGCGGAUGAAUCACGAACAAUAUUACUUCACGUUGGUUUGAAUGCAGUCACAGGAAAAACAUUCAAUUUUCACAGCGUAAAUGCCAAUUGUUUUGUAAAGUAUAAACAGAACACUUUCUUUUUCUUUUGAUGGAAAUGGGACAAGAAAAAAAGAAUGCUUUGUUUUUGAGUGUACGUUCUGCCAACCGUACUAAUGGUUAUCUUCAGAAGAAUUUUAUAUGACUCCCUCAUACUUUUUCAAAUGGUAUAUUUCCAUUUUAGCAUAUCAAGAUGAAAUGGUGCAUAUUGCACUCCAUCAUGGACGUACUAAUAAAGUACUACAGGAAGAAUUUAGGUUUGCCAAGAUGCACGGUACUGUAAUAGUCGAAUGCCCGCGAACAUGAUCACAUGCCAUUUUGGUCUGUGAAGAUACGUUGUUAGGUGCUCCAUUUUAUUUUCCCAUUAAGGCUGAACCUAAACCUGUGCUCGAGAGAUAGCUGUCCAUACAUUGAUAAGGGAUGUAUGGAUUCUUGAGAAGAGAGGAGCCGUGGGGGUCCCCCCCGGACCGCCCAGAUCCCACGAGUGAAUAGAAAGUCAAAUCUACAUUGGAUCUCACCUGAAUCACCCCAUCUAUCCUCCUGAGGAGAGGUUUGGUUUCAAACCCGGUUCGAAUAGGAGAAGUACGCCAUGCUAAUGUGCCUUGGAUGAUCCACAUCUCAGGGUCAGGCGUUGAUGAGCACAUUGACCUAUCCAUGUGGCUGAGAGCCCUCACAGCCCAGGCACAACGACGCAAUUAUCAGGGGCGCGCUCUACCACUGAGCUAAUAGCCCGUCCAUCAUAAAUUAAACCCCAAUGUGGCCCCCACGAGCACAUGCUAUUUUUGUCCGUAUCUCCAUUUGCCAAACAAAAUGGCUGGCUGUUUUCAAGUAACAAUGGUAUUUUAAUCUCCUUCCUUAACCAACGUAACGUAUUGCUCAAUAAAUUACUUAUUACGGACCAAUCUUAAUGAGUUUUAGUAUUUUCCUCCAAAGAAGCAAGUAGGAGGUAAAUCGAAAUUCAUUCAAAUUCUGGAUAGUCCGUAUGUAUCGCUAAAUCAUGUCACAGCAACCAUUGCCCAACCCUCCUUCCCAUUCUCUCCUUGACGGACAAGGCGAGCGACCUACCAGUACAUUGCCUAAUAUGGCAUUCUACCAACGACGAAUGCGAUGGGCGGGCGGGGGUUCGGGUCUAGGUUAGAGGAUGAUGAGUAAACCACCAUAAAAGGAACUUUAAAGAACGAAAAAAGCAAAAAGUCUUCGUCCACCUCGAGAGGAUCUUUAAAGGAGGAGAAAACCAAGAUCGAGCCGAAGGGACGUCCCUUUGCCUUUUCAUUUUGUAGAAAAGAUUGGGUUGGGCCGAGGUCUCCUUUGCUCGCUGCUCGCCACUUGUCCCUCGCGUCGCCCCAUACGUCGUAUAUCUAAAGGAUCUUUUCUUUCCUCCCCCCUCCGGUUGGUUGGACAAAAGAAAAAAUGUCCUUCUAUAGCCCCACCAUCAAAUAUUUUUAAAAACGGGUCGGAGGCAUCUGGAGGUUUUCGAUGGUGGGGUACACCGCAUUGGACUUCCGACUGGAGGGUUCGUAAUGAUAUUAAUGAACAAAACAUGUCGCUCAAUGAAUUUUUAUGUUGCGAUCUAGUAUUAUCCUCUAAACAAACAAGCUCGAGAUAAAUCGAAAUCCCUUCAAAUUUCGAAUAGCCUCUCCAUUAAGAAUCAUGAUUAUAUGGCGUGACUAGGAUAGAUUAAAGAUGAACUUCUCUCUUUAUCUCAUAUCGCAGUUUCUAUCGUCACCGAAUCACCGUUGCUUUCACUAUGGGUACGUGCGCGCACCUAAAUGAAAGCGAUGCUUUUGCCGGACUGCCCCUAUAUAAAAUUCAUUGUGGAAGAACAAAGAAGAUUACUCGCAAGCUGUCGGACUCGAUGAAUUACUUAGGCAGUCCAUUAACGAGAAACGUGAUAGGCAGGGGACGCACCACGCCACCAGCACAUUUGAUUAAUCCAGCGUUCUAUCGGCGGGAAAAGGUGCGAUCCUCCAGCGCGUUUUUAUUUUUUAUUAUUAUUAUUUUUUUUUUGGGGUCAUACUCCAGCACGUUGAAAAACAUGCUGAUUUCACCUCAAGCAAAAGGCCUACAUGAACGGAUCAAAUGUAACUUUGAAGAUGCCUGGAAAUUCCGAACUUGCAUUCUCGCUGGGUCGCAACAUCCACCUUAGCCUUCGCUUAUGCAGUGUUUGUCUUUAGAUUGUAAUUCUAUGCGAGAGGAGAGGGGAUUUGUAGGAUUGUAAGAGGUGCUUGUGAUUGUAGAAUCAUCUUCUGAAUUUCUUGAAGUGGGAGCACCGUCUACAAACUGUAAAACCUCGGCGAUUACUUAAUGAAUUCAAGUCUUGUUCAUGGCUACUAGAGUUGAGAGUAAAGUAUGCCAAGCGGAAGGCUGAACCACUAGGAAUUUGUCUUGUAAUAUCUAUCAUCUCUUUAAUUCUUUUAAUAAAUGUCUAAUAGAAGUCACUACAUCUGCAUACUUAAUCUCCUUUUACAAAAGCGCAUUCUCAUAUAUUUCGUUAAAGAGUUUAAGUUUUCUUAAAACAACCAACCACCCCUUGUUAGUUGCUAUUGUAGCCAUAUCAAUUGGUAUGAGAGCAUGCUACUCAAAGUUUUUGAAGUGUGAUAUUUCAAGAACAAAAAGAUGAUUAUGGUUCACAUCAUAAGAGCAUCCUUCCGCAAAAGGCAAUUCAUUUCUAGACUACAAUUGUACGAUGGAUCUAACUAUAUCUACUGGAAAUAUAGGACAAAAAUCUUUGUACAAUCCAUGCAUGGAUUACAAUUUGUGGAAAGUCAUCAAAAUGGACCAUACAUACCAGCACCAAGAAUCCCAGCACCUCCGUCCGCAAAAACAAUCACUUCUACAAUAACAUUUCCACGUCCGCAACCAAAUUCAAUAAAUAUGAUAUGAUAUUUGGAUCAUGUGAAGACACAAGUUCCUUCCCAACCAUUGCAUUCACAUUUUCUUUUUUCCCUUUUUUUUUUCCAUAAACAUCCCAUUGAUUGUAUUUAUACAUGUCAUUGCUUAAUGUGGUGUCCUUUACCCCUUGGAAAAAGUGUGGCCGUUUUGUUAUCUGUAGUCUUACUUUAAGAAUCUUCAAAGACAAAAUGAUAGAAGAGUAAAUAAAUAUUUAAGGAAAAGAAAGAGGGAAAAGAAGAAGAAGAAGAAUCUUCGUACAAUAUUUUAAAUUGGGGGUACUAGUUAAACGUGCUGGUCAAGAAAAAGAAAAGGGUGAAACGAAAAAUAGAAGGUUGGCUGGAGUUGGUGGCGUGGCGGGUUCACACUCCAAGGAUACCGCAUUAUGCUCGUAGAGAUUACACGUGCAUGUGGUUCUCGUAAGUCGCUCCCCAGUGAAUUACCCAAUUUGCCCUCCGAUUAAUGGCACGUCGCUGUCAAGAUAAGGAAGUGGGACCCACACCCGAACGCAUGCUCACGCACUAGAUUGCAAACGCAAGAGAGAUCGAGGAUAAAAUGAUGAGGGGGCCCACUUUAAACGUGCUCCUUCAUGCACUAGGUUGCCAUUGUCGCUGUUGUUAUUAUUGUUGUUUAUAAAUUCUUUGGGCCAUUUCAUUGCCCUUAUUGAGCAGGAGAGGUAGUCACCAGAUCGGUGUCCCCACCAGCAUCUUCCAUUGUGCUGGCCAAUGAGAGGCGACCAUAACGUAGACAUCGGCCUUCUCAAUUUGCCACAACAUGCAUUUUGUCUCAUUCACAGAUUAUGUCCCAUCGAUCCUCAAGAUCGUGCGUCGAUGCUGCAGCAAGAAAGUUGGGACCUAAGAGAAACCUUCGCAAUUUUUGGAGAGAAUGAACUAAUAAUUUCUAAACUUUUACUUAAUAUAUAAUAUCAUCUUUAAAUUUUAAAAUUAUUCAAUAUGGUCAAUGAAUUAUCUAUAAAUAUUCAAAAUAGUCCUUUGGCUUACUUAGACGAUAAGUCAAACCUUAUUUGAUAACAUGACUUAUCAAAUGCUGAGUUUUAUUUUUAAAAAAGAUGAGUCAGUAUGUCUUUUUUUUUUUUUUACUAGUUUAGAAAAGGAAAAAAAAAAUAGGGCAUUAACAUGUCCAUUAUAAAUAUCUUACUUAAGUAAUCCAUGAUUUUGUUAACUUUAAUUAAUGGAAGGAUAAUAGUUAAUAUCUUCAUCUAGUCUAGUAAGGGUAAGCGGUUCUAGAUUUAUUACAAUUUCCUCAUUUUGUGGAAUCUGGAACCUAUCAUAUAUGCCUUAGAACCUAAAAUCCACCUUAUCAUAGGUUUUAGGGUUGGUUUCAUGAUUUAACAAGUUCUUUUUUUUUUUAGUUAAUCAAAAUGAAAGCAAAUGCAACAACACAAAUGAAAAUUUCUCAUUUUUCAAUAGCAAUAAUUUGUAAAAGAUGGACAAAAUAAAAUAAAUAAUAAAAAAUUCAAAACACGUAACAUAAAAUCUAAACUUAUAUUUUUCAAUUCAUGGAAAAUUUUUUUGGUAGAACAAUUCGCUUUCUGUCAUUUAAACAUCCAAAUGUCAAAAAACAAUUUCCCUUCAAACAAAUGCACCCUUAAUUUAAAACACCACAUUAAACAUGAAUUAUUUGACUGUAGCAAGAUUGUCACCGUAUUAAUGUACCUAAGGUUUUUUUUUGGUAUGAUACGAAAAGGAUUUUAAAUAGAGAAAGCGUUGCGAACUUCUGUACAUCAAACUUUGCUUGUGAUGUAUUUCACUAUAUGAUCGAGCAUCGAAAAUGAAAACUUUCUUUCUAGAAAUGCUCGCUAAAUGCAUCCGAACAAGCUUUGAAACACUAUUGAUCUCUUCAUAAUCAAGUUAAGCGGUGAUUUUUUUUUAAAGCACAAACUAAAGAGGAUAUUUCAAAAAGGAAGAACAGCCUAAAAAGGAGAGUGAGCGAACCACCGAUUUCCGGUUUCUUAAAAAAUAGAACUGCCAAGCGGAUUGAGAUGUAUUGGAACCUGGAACUGGACUAGUUCCCGGUUCUACCUGAAACCAUACUCACCUUUAUAAUUUAGGAAUUAAAUUGAAUAUUCGCUAAUAGUUUAGAUUUCAUAUUAAACAAAUUAAAAGUUUAAAAAAGAUAUUUUAUAUUAGGCCAAAGUACAUGAAUCAUUCAUAUCAUUUUUUCUGGAUUUCUCCUGGAUUUUUCUUACCAAAAGGGACGAGACUUUCUUUUUCUUGCCAAAAGCUUUCCUUUUCCUUCGGUGUUUCCGGAAAAAGAGCUUUUAUUCAAAAGAACAAUCAGUGUAAUGGAAUAUACGUUUCCACGAUUGACCGGACUUGGCUUCUGCACAUGGAAUAUAAGUUCCCAUGAUUGAAGUCAGUUACUCCAUUUUGCAUUUUUGUAUAUUAUAGUACAAUCUUCAUUCGUGGGUGCGGCCUGUUGUUGACGUGCGUAGGGGUGUGCCGUGCUGCGAGGGCAAAGUGGCAAGGCUUCUCUUCAACUACACCGUGUUCUAGCGAAAAUAUUUUUUGUAUUGAGAUUGUGUAAUUCUUUAUGAGAUCAAGAUAUUAUUUCGUAAAAAAUUGUGGAACUAAUGCAAUUGGGGGCUAAGAAACAUUAAAAAUAUUUGAGUAAUUCAAUUAUAGUUGUUAUUUUUGUUGUAUAUCUAUAGUAAAAUUAUUUGCUACUCUUUCCGUAAUUGUAAGUCACAUCAACCGAAUUACGUAAAUUUGAUAUUCAAUUUAUUUUUUUAUUCUGUCUAUUUUAAUGUUUGAUCGCUUGGCUCAGCAACAUUCAUCCCCCCCCCCCCUCUCUUUCUGUGUAACAAACCAAAGGCAAGAUUCCAUCGUAAAUACUUAACCGCGAAGAAUAUCAUAAAACUCUAUAGCCAAUGCUAAGACAAACUAUGGUUACAUCUUGUCACAUGCUUCACAAUAUUGUGAUAGAGCUAAAUCGACUCACGCAAUGCCGAUUAUGGAGAUCCCAUGACGAUAGUAAAAUCAUGCUUUAGGUGAAGUGUAUAACUAUGGGUAAGAUAAAUCCCAUACUAGAUCAACGUUUUCACAAUGAGGUUGGUUCCUUAUUAUUAUAAUUAUUAUCAUUACCAUGAAUUUUUGUUGGCUUCGAGGGCAUUGGUCAUGGCCCUUCGUCAAGUUGCACAACUUUAUUCAGUAAGGACAUACGAAGCAUUACUGUAAGCAUUAUAGGAGAUUAACCUCUUCAGUCACGAUGCUAAUCAGACCGAACACAGUAUGUAGUGAUGUAACACGAAGACUCGAACUUUCCCUCUUGGUCUUGCUCUGUUUGUCAUCGUUAGCAAGUGGUGCAGGAUUCAAAAUCCCGUUUUCGUUGGAUCUGGGGAACACAUGCAAUCACGGAGAGCAUUGCAAGCAUACGUUGCGGGUUUAAUCAAGAUCUUUCAUGGUAUAAUUGACAAAAAUGCAAAAAGCCAAUGAAACGCAUUCCCAAGAAACCUUUUUUUCCCUAACGAGCCCGGACCAGAAUGGGCCCAAUAGUGUCGGCCAUACCUUGCCUGGGCCGGCACGGCCCUUUGGCCAUUACCAAGUUGUACAUAAAUCUCAAAAUACUAGAUAGAUUAGAGAGAGCGCAAUUGGACUCUACAUAGAAACUUUCUUUCAGUUUAUCGUGAGGCAUAUUGAUGUGAGAUCACGCAACAGAUACUUCAUUAUUUCCAACAAAUUACUUUAAGUUCUGUUCUGCAAGGAUCGCAUGCAAUAGACAAGCCAUCAAGCGGUGAUCAAACGCCAAAUUGGGUGCUUGCAAUAUCAUAAGAGAAGGUCUAUCCCAAAUUUUUUUAAGAAAUUGGAAACUAAGUCGAUAGAUUGUUCCAUUUUAUAGAGUUUCCACGUCUUGCGUGUUUAUCAGCAAGCGGCAGAAUAAUAAAUAGAUUAUGGCCACGUCAGUCGGCUUGUGUUUCCAGGGAAAUUCGAGGACCAAUCACUAUUCAACUUUGAACAGGAAAAAUGUCUUUUUCCAUCUUUAUUUUCACUUUUCCCUGUCAGAAUGAUUAAGUUUUGAAUAGAGAGAUUUUACAAGACUCCGAAUGUAUAUUUGUGGAUUAGGAUGAAGUUUUUACAAGGAUUACUAGUCUAUAAUUACCUUCUACGCAUUGAUUACUAUGGAUUAGUAGUAGUCAAGUGGUCCAAACAAGGAUAUACUCAAGAGGCAAGUAAAGCUGUGGAUGAAUAAAUGAGAAUUUACUCGUCUGGAUCCAAAAUUUGUUUUCUUUUGUUCCUUCCUUGCAGAUGUUUUAAGAGGAGGUCAAGCGGAUCGAAUAUAAAAGGUACUGACAUUAGCUUGACUUAUUUCUCUCCUUGCUUUUGACUGGGGCGAAAGAAACAAGUUACCAUAAGAAUGUAACAGCUAUUUUGAAUUUAACGUAACAUAUCAUUAGUCCAUUCCAUGAGUACAAGCUUUAACUUAGCACAACCUUUGCAAUGGCGAGUCUGUUAUCUAGAGUAUCAACGGAGCUCAUACAGCAACUCAAAAUUUAGAGUUUUGCACUGCAGCACAUCAAGUCGAGUAUAUUGCGCUGCCCAUUCUCAUCCUCAUUCAAACUCAGCACUCAGUGCUGCAACCGAUAUAUUUGAUAGAUGAAAUGUUCAUCCAUAGACAAGCUAGCUUUAAGCAGCUAACGCAUUCGGCAGCAGACAUCAGAAGUGUUUUCAUAUGAAACGGCAGGAAAGUCUCUUUCGGAGGGACAAUACCCAUAAAAAGUGAGUUAAAAGAACGACGUUGAUGCACAAGAUGUAAAUAAUAAUUUAAUCAUUUGUCAUCCUCUCUGCUAAACACACAACAUUUUCUUUUUUUCUUUUUCCUUUUUUUUUUGGCGGGGGGGGGGGGGAGGAGGGGAGAUAGAGUACCAGGACUAUGACUCCUCACAUUUCAUAAAGAAACACAUCUACUGGAUCAAUAAUAUGACGGCAAUACACCCAUGUGUGCAAGAAGAAUUGAUUGACGAGUAAGUUACUGUUGACACCUAAAUUAUUUGUUUUAAAUUAGGUUUCUUUUAUUUUUAUUUUGUCUUUUUUAAAUAAAAAAAAUCAGUAAAAACAAAUAAAUAAAAAAGCAAAGCAAAAGCCCAGCCUUUUUUUUCUUUUCCCUUUCUCUUCCCCCUCCGCGUGGCCCCUAUGGCCCAUUUUCCUUCACCCUUGGCCCGGCCCCUUUUCUCUCUUCUUCUUCCUCCCGUCUUCUUCUUCCUUAGCUGCUUGCAUCUCACGCCGCAUGGCUGGCGACGCGCGCGAAGGACGGCCUACGGCCGAGGGGAGUAGGCCGACGUCGGCCGGAGAGGAUAAGAUCAGGCGCUAUUAAUGCUGAGCGAGCUUCGCUGGAAAGCUCGAUGGGACACCGGUUCAGCCGAGCGGAACCGGUGGGCAAGCCGGAGGCCGGCGACCGAGCCCCUCCGUCGACCGGAGUUCCUUCGCCUAUAAAUAGGUGGCCGCAAGCAUCGUCGGAGGGCGUGGCGAGCUUGGAGAUCCUUCACUGAGAGACGUCGGGAAGGAUCGAAGGGCGAGCGCAAGAGAGAGCUCGAGUCGCGAGCUCAGCCCACCCUCCACCGAGAGACUUCGGGGAAGGCAGGCGGCAAGCGACUUCGAGAGGGUCAGAUCCGGUCGGUGGAGGCUCGGAUUUGGGCCUGAGUGAGAGAAGAUCGAGCCGAGAAGUCCGGCGAGAUUUACGCCUCAGAUCUGUUUUUUUUUGCUGCUGUGUGCCGCCGAACGCUGUGCCGCCGCCGUUGCCUCGACCGAAGAUCCCGACGCCGUUGCUGCGACCGAUUCNNNNNNNNNNNNNNNNNNNNNNNNNNNNNNNNNNNNNNNNNNNNNNNNNNNNNNNNNNNNNNNNNNNNNNNNNNNNNNNNNNNNNNNNNNNNNNNNNNNNNNNNNNNNNNNNNNNNNNNNNNNNNNNNNNNNNNNNNNNNNNNNNNNNNNNNNNNNNNNNNNNNNNNNNNNNNNNNNNNNNNNNNNNNNNNNNNNNNNNNNNNNNNNNNNNNNNNNNNNNNNNNNNNNNNNNNNNNNNNNNNNNNNNNNNNNNNNNNNNNNNNNNNNNNNNNNNNNNNNNNNNNNNNNNNNNNNNNNNNNNNNNNNNNNNNNNNNNNNNNNNNNNNNNNNNNNNNNNNNNNNNNNNNNNNNNNNNNNNNNNNNNNNNNNNNNNNNNNNNNNNNNNNNNNNNNNNNNNNNNNNNNNNNNNNNNNNNNNNNNNNNNNNNNNNNNNNNNNNNNNNNGAAAGGAGGCUGGGAACCGGGUCAGCUCGCGGGUCUGUCCGACCCGGUUUCCCAGUUUCCGGGUAGGGUUUCCUCGGGUCGGACCCGGGUAGGGUUCCGCUAGGAACCCAGGUCGUCAGGCCGGGCCAGGCGUCCCCAAACGCCCGGCCACGGCGUCGUUUUUAAAAUAAAAAAAGUCGGGCCCGUCUGCGUUUUAGGGCUGACCCGGGUCGGACCCAACCCGCGGAUCCGAACCGGUUCGGUUUUUAUAUUAUUUUAUGUAAUAUUUUAAUUAAAAAAAGAAGAAAAAUAAAAAAUAAUUUAUUUUUGAAAAAAAAUGUUUUAAUUUCCAAAAAAUUGAAAAAUAUUAAAAAAUGUCGAAAAAUGUUUUAUUUUCUAAAAAAUCGAGAAAAAUCAAAAAUAACUUAUUUUCCAAAAAUAUUUUGAAAAAUAUAAAAAAAAAAUUUAUUUUCCAAAAACAUGCCAAAAAUCCAAAAAAAGCCAAAAAUUCAAAAAAAAAGCCAAAAACUCAUGAAAAAGCCAAAAAAAUUCAGAAAAAGCUAAAAAGACUUGUAUUUUCCCAAAAAAUACCAAAAAAAAAUCCCUUUUAUGUCCAAAAAAAUGAGAAAAAUACUAAAAAAAAAACGUUUUUCAUCCCAAAAAUGCAUGGAAAAUCUCUCAAAAAUCCAAAAAGCCUUAGGGUUUAAACAAGAUUAGGUAUCGAAAGGGCAUUAGUGAUUAACUGGUGUAGUCAAGUCCCCGAUCCUAAUUUCUUUGGUUGCGCAGGAGCGAGUAUUUCUCCCGAUACUUCGCUUAGGGUUUCUAAUCGACCCACCCCAAACCGAUUAGUGGCGACUCCGUUUUAAAAUUAAUUUACAGGUUAAAAAGUUUAGAUUAUUAAAGUCGUGAAUUGGUGGACUUGGGAGAGUCCGGGCAUAAUAAAUCUCAGCCGAGCCAUUAGCCUCCCUUAGGCGCUCGUACCCGAUUGCGGGCGCCGGAAAAAAAGAGGCCGCGACAGCUUGGCGACUCCGCUGGGGACUUUGAGGACUUAGGCUAUUCUAUCUUUGUUUAAAUGCUUUGCUGACUUGGUUUUUUUUUUCUUUUGUGCAGGGUAAUAGCUUAGAGUUUUUUUAUUCUGUUAAAAUAAAAUGUUUUGUGAUUAUAAACUGUUGUGCAUCCUUAAAUGUUUUAGCACUACACAUGGCACACACAACCCGGCCGCUGGACCUGGGCCGCCAUAGGAUUUCUAGAAUGGUGUUAAGAAAGAUACGACCUCGAACGCGAGACUGCGAUGUAGAGGUUGCCUUUCUUUUCCCCGAAUUUAUUAGCCGAGGUUAAGGGGGUAUGCUGCUAACACGAGACUGCGAUGGGCGGAUACCUUUUUAAUUUCAUCAAACCUUAUGAGUUAGAAAUCGAGCCGCACGUCUCACGCGCAUGUCUUUGUGCUUGCCAUUUUUCUUUAAAAAGCAAAAGUAAUUUCUUUACUUUUACUCAGUCUUUUUAUUUGGCCCAUGGCAAUUUAGGAUAAGCUUUUCAAGUCCCUAUCUAUAUGCGAUGGGGAAAGACGAUAUCCAGUUCAUUCCUACUCCUAAGGCAGAGCUCUUCAGAUGGUGGGGUCAAUUAGAUCAGUUUGCCCAAGAGCGUGUGAAGGCCAAAGUCGGUCAUCUUCUAUUAUUGAUCCAAAUCACUGUUCGCCCUGAAGUCAUACAAGCCAUGGCACAUUUCUGGUGCCCGAAGACGGUUACUUUUAUAUUCAGUAGGUUUGAGUUAACCCCAACCCUGGAAGAAUACAACAUCAUCACUGGAAUGCCUCUUGAGAAAAAGCUCAUCAAACCAUCAACAGGUGCCCUCCCAUGGCGCGGGUUGGCGUGACUUUUAGGAACUGAAAUCCAUGUCAUGAAACAAAUUCUUGAAAACAACCAUAAUGUAUGCCCUUUAGAAUUCAUGAAUGCAUGUUUUCAAAAUCAACCUAUGACCCAGAAAAGUGAGAUUUUCCUCCUGGCCUUUUUCGGGCUCAUCAUCUUCCCCCAUCAAAGAAAUGCCAUAACUCCCAAGAUGGCAUGGAUAGUUGAUCAGAUCUUAAGAGGAGGGAAUUAUGUCAACAUGAUUUUAACUGAAACAUUCUUGUCUUUUAAUCGUUUUAAAGACAACUCGGAAAAAAUCAUGCGAGCAUCUCCUGAAAUUUUACAAGUCUGGUUCUUUUCUCACCUGAGCGAAUUUCGAGACUUCAUGCGAUCAUCUGAAACGAAUGCUUUUGAAAAUCCAUUACAAAAAUUUAUGGUUUUAGGACCAUACAUUCCCAAUCAAAGCUGUUUAAAUUGGGUAAGCUUCCUAAGAGACCCGGUUCCUGAGGCAUUCCAAUGGUGUGCUGGUUGGUUCCAUGAAAAGAGAGCCCGCUUCGCUUACAAGCGCUGUCUCUCAAUUCCGUUGCUCGGCCUCACCAGCACCAUUCUCUAUCACCCUUAUCGAGUGGCACGACAAUAUGGAGCCCUUCAGGAAAUCCCACCACAUUUCAUCAGGAAGAUCUCUUCAGUUCUUUUCAACACAAGCAGUGGUUACAUAUUCAAAGUUUCUACCGCUCAGGAAGCUUGGGACAAGUGCCAUUGCAAAAGGAUCGUGGUACCUGAAGGGCUUGAGGGAGAAGAAAAAGCCCACCACGCCUCCAUGUCCUACAUCCACAACCAUCGCAUCCAGACAAAAUGGAAGCCAUCAGUCCCUCACUCAAUCAGCAAGAGCAGCCAUCACGAGCAAGCAGAGCUCAUGGAGAGGGAUUUGGGAAUGGACUGGAUGCACACCUCAGAGCCAGUUCAAGGAAGCAGGUGUUCUCGCAAGAACAAGGCUCCCCGUCGCAUAUAAAUUGGCAAUCAUGUGCCCCUUAGUGUAAAUAGUGUGAAAGUUAUGUCCCAUUGUUUAGGGACUCUUGUUUAAUAUCUAGUAUUUCAUCCUGUCUUUUCAAUUUCAAGUUCUAGAUGUUAGGAGUUGGCAGUCUAUAAAUCCUCUUUUGAUAAAUAAAAAAGCAGUUAGACCAUUGCAAUGGGUCAAUCUUUGUUUACUUUCGUGCUCAUUCAUUAUUUUCGCAACGAACAGGUAAUUAUGAAUCGUCGGCCACUAAUCGCCCGCGAAUGGCCUCAUGUAAUAGGGCCCGAUCAGAAUGAUGUACAAAAUCGCCUUAUUAACAUUGAAGACGGCGUAGGACAGAUGUCCAUUGUCCUUCAACAACUCUCAAGACAAAUGAAAUCCACUCAAGCUGAGCCCAACUCUAUAGUUGCCUCAAACACCGUCAUGACACCUGCAAAUUUGCCAGAAAAUAGCCAGUACCAUAGACAGUUUGAAAGAAUCAUGAAAAAGUUAAGCCAGCUACAGGAGCAGAAUCCCAUGGACCUGUCCAAUUACGUCGGCAUUGAGAUCCCUGAAAAACUCAAAGCACCUGAAUGCGAAAGGUAUGCUGAUACCUUCCGCCCAGAGAUCUACUUGCAGGCCUACUUGGUCCGAAAGAUGAUUCAAACGUACCAAUCGAGCUUGAUUGGCCCUGCCUUGCGAUGGUACAUUAUCAGGAAGAUUAGUCCCCUUAAAACCUGGAGGGAACUAAUUCAUGUUUUUCACCAAGAGUAUAAUCUUGACAUCACCCUGCCCUACGAAGAGCCGAUGAUCGCGGAGCACGAGGAACCGUUAGUCGCUGAGAUAGGAGAAGAGCAUGUCAAUGAAGCCUUGCAUGAUAAAUGGGCAGCUGAGCAACAUCUUGUUACUGGAAAAUUUCCCACUAGGAAAGGCAAGGAGCCUUUGUACGAGAUCAAAGACACAGAGCCUGUUCAAGACCGGGGCAUGACUGGACGACUCCCCAAGCUUACUCCAAGAGCUAGGGUCCAAAGAAUACCAACCCCUAUCAACUUGGAAAGUGAAUCAGACAGUGAAAUUUUAAUGUCUCUCACUUCCCUUGACAAAAUCAAGCUGGCAAAGCGAAGGGCCUUACUCAAAAGGUCUGGACCAGAAGCCAAGAAAAGAAAGCCUAAGCAGAUCAAUGCAGCAUCUGCCAACGAGCCACCGCACCAAAGUUUCGAGCAUUCCCGAGAAUACAACUUUGAAGGCUACCAUCCCCAAGAAUACAACCCCAAGGACUUCCAGCGUUAUUUCGAUAAUGAAACUGACGAUUCAUCGUAUAACUGUUUCCUAGUCUCAUCCGGGGAUGAAGGCCCGUCAGAAGAGGAAGCAUACGUCUUUAUCCGCCACGAUCCUAACGAAGUACUAAGCUCUUCCUCUUACCAUGAGGAUAGCUUCAAUACUUUAUCCUCAUUCGGAAAUUUUGACCAAGAAGAAAGCAAUGGGAUAAUCUCGGUAGAAUCCAACUUCCCUGAAACAGAAAAAUUCACCACUACAACAGAUAGGCAGUGGGAAAACCAGUGGCCUAACCAAGAUACAUCAAGCCCGUCUUGCGCUCAUAGGAUCAUGACCCCUGGAGAGAUGUGGAUACCUAAUCUCUGCAAGUAUAAUGGCACGACUUGCCCCGUGGCCCACUUGCAGUACUUCCAUGCUGAAAUGAGUUGAUACUAUGGCCCGAUGUCAUUCACAACUCAGGCCUUCCAAGAGAGCCUUACAGGGUCUGCAUUACAAUGGUUCAUCACAGCAGAUAUCUACCUCAUGAGAGAUUGGAAUGAGCUGUCUUCUGCAUUCCUGCUUCAGUAUCAAAGCCAGAUUGGGAAUGAAGUGCCUUGUCAGAGCUUGGUUCACUUCAAAAGAAGACCAAUGGAGGAUUUCCGAGCGUAUGCAAGGAGGUGGGAGGCUUUUAUGAUGCAAGCUUACCCUCAACUGGCCGAAGAAGAAAUGAUAAAGCUGUUCAUAGGGGCUUUACCUCGCAAACAUCGUUGUUGGUUGCAGGGGUUGCAUCUCCAUAGUCUUAAUGAAGUGGUCCUUUCAUGUGAAUACUUCGAGUCUACUGGAGGCGAAGAAUUCAAAGACGCUUAGCUUCAAGACCAGCACUAUCAAAGCGCUCCUUUACACAGGGGUUUUCAUGAGUUUUACUUGUUUUUAUAAUUUCAUGUUUCUUAUUUUGUCUAGUGUGCUACUGUUGUAUUUUCCAUUCCAAGUACUCUAUUGUACAGUUCCAAUAUUUUGUUUUAAGAGCAUGAGGCGGUACUCCAAACCUGCCCGGUGAUGCUAUCCAACCAUGAAAAAAUAUAUCAUCCAAGGAGAAUACUGAGAGCUGGGCUUCCUCAUGCUUUUUCUCCCCCGAAUACAUAUUUUGAAAACAAAAAACACUUCAUCACCAAAAUCUUUUAAAAAAGGAUGAUAAAUUUAAUCAUGUUUGUCUUUCUAACUCACUCACUUCAUGUCUCAGAAGAUCAUUCCCGUCCCCUUUGACUUAGUGUGACAGGGGGUAUUUGAAGCAAGCACAUUAUGUGAACUCACCAAAUUCAAUGACACCAUCCCAAGAAAGUAGGGGCAAACAGAAAGGAUCAUCACGUUUCAAAAUUGUAAGUCCUAUUCCCUGAACAUAAUGUCGAAAAUGACAUCCUCUCUCUUCCAUUUACAGGAAACGAAUGAUGGGAUGUAAUAGGCACAGGCAUAUUAUCAAACUUGAAGCAUGCAUAGCAUGAUAGCUCAAGGCAGGAUGUCCCGAGUUCAUUGACAGGACUUCCAGCUUCAACGAGCCAAGAAGCACAAAGAAGGAUUUGCUUCUCUUCCUUUAAAGUGAUUACUGUCAACAGGGAGAAAAUCUAGACAGUCAAAGCGAUCUAUAGCCCCACACCCUGGACAAUGAUAUUGGAAUCUAGAAACUUCACUCCAGACGCGUAUUCUUCCGAGGAGUAAUUGCCAUAAAAAAGCUUGAGACUUUUGAUCUCAGAUUCCAUAGAAGCUUGAGGUACAUGACUUUUGCCCAAUGAUGCUAUAGUUAAAGACAGAAAGAGAAAUUCCACAUAAGGAAGGCGUUGAAAAUGAAUCAAUGACCAGCAAUCAUGCAUACAUGGUCACAAGUGAGGAAGGCCAAUCGAAAGAAAUGUCAAACUAUGCCAAGACGAAAAGGCUGUCAUCGACAUUCAAACAUCAUCAGGAGUCAGCAAAUAUAAACUUUGGAGAAGAGUAAUUUGGUAUCGUUUCCAAUACUCCCCCUUCUUUGAAUUCAUUUUUGACAUAUUCCCCCUAUUGGCAGGAAGCACCAGGAUUUAAGAGCCAAAUUUGAUGGUUAGACAAAUCAAUAUUGGCCAAGCUAGUACAUGGGAAUGACCUACAUCAAAUUCACCUGACUCCGUAUAAAGAAGGACAUGUCAUCCAUGAGCCAAUUCAGAGAAUAAUUGACUUAACAAAGCAAGGGACAUAGGACUUCGUGUCCCCAUCUCACUUCAAGUUCACCCAAUCGUCUGCAAACCAGUGAAGGGAUCACCUGACUGUCAAAAGCAAGGAUAACGAAUCAAUGAGAAGCAUGUCUUGUUUGUUGCAGGAUUAACUGACUGUCAAAAACAAAGAUAACAAAUCAAUGAGAGGCAUGACAAACUCUCCCAAGCAAAAUGGCGUCUCAAGUAUUGCCAAAGCAAAUGACAGAGAUCCUUCAGGCCUCAAUUCACCUUUAAUUUUGGCCCUGUUGAUUGAUCCAUUUUCAUCUUCUCUUCUGCAGGGGCAAAAACAGAGAUGCCCGAUCAGAUCCCCAACCCCGGCUGAUCCUUCAUGUGUCAUAUCCCUAAUCAAUAGGGAUAAUUAUCGACACCCAUUUGCGAAUAACCCUUUUGAUGUUCAAAAUUUAACAUAUUUGAAAACACCAUUAUGUUAACUUCUAAAGUUGUCAAUAGGGUCUUUUUUGAGUCAAAACCAUUCACUUGUUUUGAAGAGUUCAAACUCCAUAUUCAAAAUGUUGCAUGUCAUUUCCAGAUGAAUUUUGCAUGAGGAUUUUGUCUGUCUAAAUCACUGAUUCCAUUGAGAAUUAUUAGAAUAGACAACUAAAUGAAGAAUACAAGAUUAAUUGAGCAUACCGGAUGAGGCGUGUUAGAAUGAUGAAAGGCAAGCCAUAUCCUACACACAAUUCCCCCCAUCUAUACACUUGUGAGAUGAGUGCAGAAGAUUCCAUGGCUGCAGGGUAAAGAGUUCUCUCGCGAAUGGUACGAUAACCAAAAUAGUGAAAGGCAUUCCAUCGCUCACCCCAUUGAGCCCCAUACAUUGGAGAAGCUCAUACCCUCGUCAAGAACCACCCCACACUGGGGCAUAGCGGAAGCAAAGCAGCAUCACAAGGUGAGAAGAGAGAUAGAAAUUUUCUUGCUUGCACUUGCAUCAAUCUUCGAGUGUCUUUAUUGCAUAUGAACACUCGCGUUAAUUUAAGUGCCCUAGAGUUGUGAAGAGCAAUUCUUUAUUUAUGCACUUGUAUCCAUUGUACAACUCAAUUAAGUCUGUAAAUUCACCCUCACAUGGAGGCAAAACAGAAGCCACUGUCGUUUGAGCAGCAUAAUCAGAAGUGCUAGCAAAAGAUGAAGACUCCAUAGUCUAACAAAGGCAUUUGCUUAAACUUGUCAAGAUCAGUUCCUCAAGCAACAAGAACAAAAAACUGGGGCAUAAAAAAGCAGUGUACCUGGUAAAAGCAAGGUCAAUGCCCAUGAAUGAAGAACUGGAAUAAAAAUAGGGGCAUAAAAAAGCAGUGUGCUUGGUAAAAGCAAGGCCAAUGCCCCCCAGUCAAAAAUGCAGCCAAGAAAAUGUUGUUGUGGUCCAUAAAACCUCCAUUUGACAGUAAAAAAAAGACUGGUGACAAAUGCCAAGGCAAUCACCAGCUCUACCUUUUUACACAUGAAUCAAGCCUACGUUGCAUCCCAUUGUAAAAAGUCUCUUCAGACUAGGGGCACUUCAAUUAACGUAGGAUUUCAUAUGUGCAUAAGCAUCGCUCGAAGAAGUACGAGCAAGACUAUUCUAUCUCUUUUCACAGGACUCUUGACUUGUAAACCCGGAGAUGAUCGUGCAACAUUUUCGUCCAUCAGCUUCAACCUUGAUGGUCCCCUUUGAUGAGCCACUGACCAAGACUUCAUCACAGUUUCAACAAAGUCCUCUCACAUUGGUAAAGUCGUACCGUUUGCGAGAAUACUCGGACCCCUGUUGACAUGAUGACAGUGAGAUAGUGUGGUCCUUAUAAAUCCUGCAUUAAUGGUCAGGAUAGCAUUUUUCAUGAGAGUGAGCGGAAAAUCCUUUCAGACUGAAAGUCCCUCAUUUGGCAUGCUCAAGACAUCUACAUUCUAAAUGAAGAUUGUCUUUCGAAAUCUUCCCCAGUGGAAAUCAGAUGAUGCAAAACUGACAAAAUUAUCAUGCAUGAAUCUCUUUUGAACUCAUGAAUUUACAGCAUAUACAAUCAUGUGUGCAUAUUGUGCAAAUAGUAGACAUACUCUCAGAAAUCAGAGAUAUUGCCAGGUGAGCAUAUCCUUGUCCCCAUUUAUUUUUAGGUACCUCCCACUGUCUAGGUACCCUCUUCUUGACACUCGACCUAUUCGAGUUGUCCCUUGAGUUUUGAUGCUUACUGUUGUCUUAGCAUCCCAUUGUUUUUUAGUACCGGCCACCGUUUGGAUACUCCCUUUUCCUGACACUCGACUUGUUCGAGUUGUCCCCAGAGUAUUGAUACUUGUGAUUGACCAAGUAUCUCUUGGAAUACCUAUUGCUGUCUAGGUAUCCCUAUAUCAUCAAGUACCCACCGUUGUCCAGGUACUUCCUUUUCAUGACACUCAACUUGUCCAAGUUGUCCCCAAAUAAUAGCAGUUGUUCAAGCAUUCCACUGCUUUGUGUGCCUGCGCCUACCCAGGUAUGCUUUCUUACACUUGGACCAACUGAGUGGUCCCAGGUUGUAUCAUUAAAUACUUGUGUUCAUCCAAGUAUUCCAGUACUUUGUACACCUGUGGCUAUCCAGGUGUUCCACCCCUUUUAAGUGCCUACGGCAAUCCAGGUAAGCCUCGUGCUACAUUCAAAUUCUCAUUACCAGGAGGUGAGAGACCUUCAUGAAUAUGCGAGGCACGCCCUCGAUAUUCCCAUUACCAGGAGGUGAGAGACCUUCACGAAUAUCCCAGGUAUGUCCUCGAUAUUCCCAUUUACCAAGAGGUGAGAGACCUUCAUGAAUAUGCGAGGCAUGCCCUCGAUAUUCCCAAUUACCAGGAGGUGAGAGACCUUCACGAAUAUCCCAGGUAUGUCCUCGAUAUUCCCAUUUACCAGGAGGUGAGAGACCUUCAUGAAUAUGCGAGGCACGCCCUCGAUAUUCCCAAUUACCAGGAGGUGAAAGACCUUCACGAAUAUCUCAGGUACGCCCUCGAUAUUCCCCUUUACCAGGAGGUGAGAGACCUUCAUGAAUAUCUCAGGUACGUCCUCAAUAUUCCCCUUUACCAGGAGGUGAGAGACCUUCAUGAAUAUGCGAGGCACGUCCUCAAUAUUCCCAAUUACCAGGAGGUGAGAGACCUUCACGAAUAUCUCAGGUACGCCCUCGAUAUUCCCCUUUACCAGGAGGUGAGAAACCUUCAUGAAUAUGCGAGGCACGUCCUCAAUAUUCCCAAUUAUCAGGAGGUGAGAGACCUUCACGAAUAUCCCAGGUACGUCCUCGAUAUUCCCCUUUACCAGGAGGUGAGAGACCUUCAUGAAUAUGUGAGGCACGUCCUCAAUAUUCUCAAUUACCAGGAGGUGAGAAACUUUCGUGAAUAUGCGAGGCACGCCCUCGAUAUUCCCAAUUACCAGGAGGUGAGAAACCUUCAUGAAUAUGCGAGGCACGCCCUCGAUAUUCCCAAUUACCAGGAGGUGAGAAACCUUCACGAAUAUGCGAGGCAUGCCCUCGAUAUUCCCAAUUACCAGGAGGUGAGAGACCUUCACGAAUAUGCGGGGCACGCCCUCGAUAUUCCCAAUUACCAGGAGGUGAGAAACCUUCAUGAAUAUCUCAGGUACACCCUCGAUAUUUCCCAAUUGCCAGGAGGUGGGACACCUUCACAAAUAUCCAAGUACCUAUGGUCAGCCAAAAGCCCCUUUUUGAUGCCGGCAAAGGCCCAAAUAUCCUUUAGGUUAGUACUUGUGAAUAUCCAGGCACUCAUUGAUAUGCCUGUGAAUGUCCAGGUAUCUUCCAAAAUCGAUGCCCUGAGAAAGGUCGGCGCAUCUCCCGGGAAAGGUCGGGUACCAACUGGUGUCUUCGAUAGAAGUCAGACACCCAACAAAUCGAUGCCCUAAUAAAGGUUGGCGCAUUCUCCCGAGAAAGGUCGGGUUCCAACUGGUGUCUUCGACAGAAGUCAGACGCCCCACAAAUCGAUGCCCUGAAAAAGGUCGGCGCAUCCUCCCGAGAAAGGUCGGGUUCCAACUGGUGUCUUCGACAGAAGUUAGACGCCCCACAAAUCGAUGCCCUGAAAAAGGUCGGCGCAUCCUCCCGAGAAAGGUCGGGUUCCAACCGGUGUCUUCGACAGAAGUCAGACACCCAACAAAUUGAUGCCCUGAUAAAGAUCGGCGCAUCUUCCGAGAAAGGUCGGGUACCAACUGGUGUCCUUGAUACAAAUUAGGCACCCACAAAUGAGAUGCCCUGAGAAAGGUCGGUGCAUCUCCCGUCAAGGCGACCGAAGAAAGGUUCGGGUCCUAGACAAAUCAUGGAUUGUUUUAACAGGUGACUGAAGAAUGGUUCGGGUCCUGGAGAAGCAACUUCCCGUCACGGCGACCGAAGAAUGGUUCGGGUCCUAGAAGAGCAGUCUCCCGUCACGGCGACCGAAGAAUGGUUCGGGUCCUGGAAAAGCAAUUCCCCAUCAAGGCGACCGAAGAAAGGUUCGGGUCCUAGACAAAUCACUUAUUGCUUUAACAGGCGACCGAAGAAUGGUUCGGGACCUGGGAAAGCAAUCUCCUCAUGCAGCAGGUAAGAUGACGCCUAAAUACUUGCCAAAACUCGGGGUUCACACCCUAUCUCACUCACUCCCGGUAAGUAACUACAGGUAUCUUCUUAUCUGUCUUAGUAUACGCAAUGUUAUAUAGCUCAUUUUCUGCAUAGGACACUAGGUCCUAAAUAUCAUAUAAUCUAUUGCAUAUGUAUAGACAAAAUUUAGGUAUCAGGUUUGUCUUUGAAUGCAACCUCUACGAACUCACCUUCAAAGAGGGGCAGCUGUUGACACCUAAAUUAUUUGUUUUAAAUUAGGUUUCUUUUAUUUUUAUUUUGUCUUUUUUAAAUAAAAAAAAUCAGUAAAAACAAAUAAAUAAAAAAGCAAAGCAAAAGCCCAGCCCUUUUUUUCUUUUCCCUUUCUCUUCCCCCUCCGCGUGGCCCCUAUGGCCCAUUUUCCUUCACCCUUGGCCCGGCCCCUUUUCUCUCUUCUUCUUCCUCCCAUCUUCUUCUUCCUCAGCCGCUUGCAUCUCACGCGCGGUGGCCGGCGACGCGCGUGAAGGACGGCCUACGGCCGAGGGGAGUAGGCCGACGUUGGCCGAAGAGGAUAAGAUCAGGCGCCAUUAAUGCUGAGCGAGUUUCGCUGGAAAGCUCGAUGGGACACCGGUUCAGCCGAGCGGAACCGGUGGGCAAGCCGGAGGCCGGCGACCGAGCCCCUCCGUCGACCGGAGUUCCUUCGCCUAUAAAUAGGUGGCCGCAAGCAUCGUCGGAGGGCGUGGCGAGCUUGGAGAUCCUUCACUGAGAGACGUCGGGAAGGAUCGAAGGGCGAGCGCAAGAGAGAGCUCGAGUCGCGAGCUCAGCCCACCCUCCACCGAGAGACUUCGGGGAAGGCAAGCGGCAAGCGACUUCGAGAGGGUCAGAUCCGGCCGGUGGAGGCUCGGAUCUGGCCUGAGUGAGAGAAGAUCGAGGCCGAGGAAGGUCCGACCGAGAUUUACGCCUCAGAUCUGUUUUUUUUUUUGCUGCUGUUGUUGCCGCCGAACGCUGUGCCACCGCCGUUCGCCUCGACCGAGAUCUCGACGCCGUUGCUGCAACCGAUUCGUCCAAAGCCGCACCAAAUCUGAGAGUUGAGGGGCCGUCGUCUCUGCUGCUGUCCCCCGCCCCGACGACGUGCCGUGACUGACCCGCCAAGGUUGCACAAGAUCUGGAAAUUGCAGGGACGCCGUUGCCAAUCCGCCGCCCGUAACUGCAGCCCUUUGUCAGCCACAACCAAGUAUCCGCCGCCUCCGGUUGCGUAGUCGCCGUCACAGCCCCCCUCUCAAACCGUGCCGCCGCUGGCCACACCAGCACAGACCCAUCCUCACUCAUCCUCGCCGGAACCGUUUUGUUGCCGCCGUCGGUCGUGUCGUCGCCGCCGUUGUGGCCGCCGUCUAGCCCAUCGUCACCGCCGUUGUGGCCGCCGUCGCUGCUGUCGUCGCCAGUGACGCUUCUCCCCCUCACCAGCGCCGCGAGCGAGCGAAGGAGAAAGGAGGCUGGGAACCGGGUCAGCUCGCGGGUCCAUCCGACCCGGUUUCCCAGUUUCCGGGUAGGGUUUCCCCGGGUCAGACCCGGGUAGGGUUCCGCUAGGAACCCAGGUCGUCGGGCCGGGCCGGGCGUCCCCAAACGCCCGGCCACGGUGUCGUUUUUAAAAUAAAAAAAGUCGGGCCCGUCUGCGUUUUAGGGUUGACCCGGGUCGGACCCAACCCGCGGAUUCGAACCGGGUCGGAUUUUAUAUUAUUUUAUGUAAUAUUUUAAUUAAAAAAAAGAAGAAAAAUAAAAAAUAAUUUAUUUUUGAAAAAAAAUGUUUUAAUUUCCAAAAAAUUGAAAAAUAUUAAAAAAUGACGAAAAAUGUUUUAUUUUCUAAAAAAUCGAGAAAAAUCAAAAAUAACUUAUUUUCCAAAAAUAUUUUGAAAAAUAUAAAAAAAAAUUUUAUUUUCCAAAAAAAUACCAAAAAUCCAAAAAAAGCCAAAAAUUCAAAAAAAAAAGCCAAAAACUCAUGAAAAAGCCAAAAAAAUUCAGAAAAAGCUAAAAAGACUUGUAUUUUCUCAAAAAAUACCAAAAAAAAAUCCCUUUUAUGUCCAAAAAAAUGAGAAAAAUACUAAAAAAAAACGUUUUUCAUCCCAAAAAUGCAUGGAAAAUCUCUCAAAAAUCCAAAAAGCCUUAGGGUUUAAACAAGAUUAGGUACCGAAAGGGCAUUAGUGAUUAACUAGUGUAAUCAAGUCCCCGAUCCUAAUUUCUCUGGUUGCGCAAGAACGAGUAUUUCUCCCGAUACUUCGCUUAGGGUUUCUAAUCGACCCACCCCAAACCGAUUAGUGGCGACUCCGUUUUAAAAUUAAUUUACAGGUUAAAAAGUUUAGAUUAUUAAAGUCGUGAAUUGGUGGACUUGGGAGAGUCCGGGCAUAAUAAAUCUCAGCCGAGCCAUUAGCCUCCCUUAGGCGCUCGUACCCGAUUGCGGGCGCCGGAAAAAAAGAGGUCGCGACAGUUACUCAAACCUUUUCUUUUUUAGCUUUGGCAAGUUAGGUGUAGAGGAGCUCAGCAACAGCAACAAAGAUCUUGAGCACAAGCUUGACCCCAGUGUGUUUAUGAGUCUCGAGUACAAAGUCAGGGUUAAACCACAAUACAUUUGUUGUGAGCAUCUUGGUGGUUCUCUUAGCAAUCUGUUUAGCUGAAGGUAUCAUGAGAGAGUUGAUGUCAUAGACAUUGGGAUCAAUCUCAGCACCAUACUGGACUCCCUUGCGGAAAACUAAGAGGAGCUUCUCAUCAGAGCCAGAGUUCUCCCUUGUGAUGGCGUCGGCAUUCAUGUCAAUGAUUGAGAGGAUCAUGUCGUUGAAGUGGGAGUAGCACAAGUGAGUGUAGAUCUGCCAAUCAAUAACAGCCACCAAGUAAAAUUAGUACACAUGGGAAACGGAUCUUCUUACAUAUAAAACAAAAAGAAAAAAAGAAGAAAAGAAAUGGAGCUAUGAAAGCUUGACACCACAGUGAGUGACUCUAAAAGGGUGGAUAGCCCAAUCCAAUUGUUCAGGCUUUCUUAGUGGCAAACCCUCUCUCAAAGCUGCCUCAUCAAUUUGAAUAAUAUUAAUCCCUGCCUUCUCAAGAUCCUCGACUUCGUCCUUGAUAGCCAAGGUGAUUUGAUAGCAAGUUUGGAACCUGUGAAAUAAGGGUGCGCAUGGUAAUGUUUCUAUUUCGAGAAACUAUUUCUACUUCGGAAACAAUUUUUGAGUAAAAUAAGGUGUUUAGUAAUUAUACAAAAUUUCUAUUUUUGGAAUAGAAAAAGAAUAGAAAUGCGUUUGGUAAAAAUUUAUAAAUUUUUGUAUUUAUUUGUUUUUUUUCUUACUCACGGACUGCCGACCCAUUUGUUGCCGCAUGACUGCUGCACGAACGUUGCACGAACGUUGCACAACCGCCGCACGACUGCUGCACGAUCGUUGCACCACCGCCGACUAAGGGUGAGCGGUUCCCAGUUCCGGUUCGAUUCCGUCCGGAACCUAGAACCUACCCUCGGGUACAAGUUCCUCAAAUUUUGGAACCUGGAACCUACCCUGUCACAGGUUUCGGGGUCGGUUCCAGGUUCCACAAGUUCUUUUUUUUUUUUUUUUCAUUUUCGUAUUGGGCGCGAAUAUCCAGAAGUGGAAAUAAUUCAAUAGUUGGCCAUCCAUUUUCAAUACCUGCCAAUAAAGAGAAGCAAUUCCAGAACACGCCAUAAACAACUAAAUUCAUAGUGGGGGUGCAACAUGCACAGGAGCAAUUCCAGAACACGCCAUGACAUACACAUCCAGCACUCCAUUCACAACCGAGGUAACACAAAGAUCAAAUUCUUUGUGCCCUUGCACAAAUCGACACAAAUUGUACAUCCUAAUCAAAAUAAGCAAAAGCAAACGAUAGCUUGAUCUUCGCACGUGACGAACACGUGCUCGACUCAGUCCGAUUCUCGGAAAUCACUCACUCACAUGUACACACGGAAACCCUAAACUACCGGCUGAGGAACAAAAAAAUCGUCAAAGUCGCGAACAGGCAAAGGAGAGGAGGUCGAGGCGAAACCAACCUCCGAGACGAAGAAGAGCUCGCCACCGCCGCCUCCUGCUUCUCCUCCUUCGGCUUUGCUGCCGAUCAUAGCCCGUAGCAGAGCAGCUUCGUUGGGGCGAAGGUGAAGGGGUGUGGAGUUAAGGUUGAUUGGGUGGCUGGGCGAGCUGCGUCGGGGGGCUGGUGAGCGAGUAGCCUCCACCUGGGGGAUCAGCGGUGUCGAUGGCAAGUGGUUGAGCGGCGAGGCGAGCGAGGGGUGACGCAUCCAGUGGCAGUGUCGAGGGAGGUCUGGCGACGGCGACGAAGACAUGAGUCUCACGGCACCAACGGCGGCAUGGACAGCGUGGCGAAGAUGGCGGCAGUCGCGGCUCAACCCAUGGCCAAGGGGGGAAGAGCUCGGUUCUGGCGGUGGCGGUUCGGAGCAACGACGGCCCGAACGGCCGAGCGAGCGGAGGCAAGAGGUGGUGAUAGUGGCUUGGGGGACGGUGGCGGUGGCUCAUGGCGACGAGGGGCGGUGUGGACAGCGCGAUAGCUUGUCGGGCUCAACGGCGAGAUGGCUCGUCGGACGAGCGGUGGGUGGUGGUGGUUUAGUGGCCAAGAGAUGGUGGUGAGUAGGGUGUGGGGCGGCGAUGUGGUGGUGGNNNNNNNNNNNNNNNNNNNNNNNNNNNNNNNNNNNNNNNNNNNNNNNNNNNNNNNNNNNNNNNNNNNNNNNNNNNNNNNNNNNNNNNNNNNNNNNNNNNNGAAGAAGAAGAAGAAGAAGGGAAGAAGUAAGGGGUGGGGUUUCAGUCCGCAGAGAGGUGGGAAAGAGAAUAGAGAGAAGAUAAAGAAAUAAGGUUGAGGGCAGGAAGUGACGGAGAGCAGGAAAAAGGGGGGAAGAGAGAGAGAGAGAGAGGGAAAAAGAAAGGGGAAGGGGGGAAGAAACGCAGGGGAAAUAGUUUUUUUUUUUUUUUGAAUUUUGGCCGGUUCCAGUUCCGGUUCCCAGGAAAAGGGAAUCGGGAACCGGAACCGGUCUCUUAAGAACCGGGAACCAAACCGGACCCUCCGGUUUCGGUUCUCUGGUUCUCGGUUCUACCCAGGAACCGUGCUCACCCCUACCGCCGACUACCGCCGCAAGAUUGCUGCCCACAGCCCACCAAUUGCGUGAGGGGGUGACAACCGGUGGGUUGUGGGUGGCAGUCUUGCGAUGGCGGUCGGUAGCGACAGUUGGCUGUCAUGCGGCAACAGGCAGCGGUCGUUCGGUGGUUGUGUGGCAGUUGGCGACGGCAGGCUGCUGACGGACGGUGGCAAUCGUUGGUCAGUGGGCUGUGGGUGGUGGCUGGUGGGUGAUGGGCGGCGACGAAAUAUAGAGCCCUUGUUUCUACCGGGCUCACCAAAAAGGAAACAUCACAAAUUUGCACAGCCCAAAACGGACCCCGAAGGGGAAAGAUGGGGAAUGAUAAGGUAAGGUCCUAUUUGUUUUCUUUCGCGCCUUUCAUUAAUAUAUUAAGUUUAUGCUUUCCCCCACCUCACUUUCAAGUUAUUCUGUAGGGAGUUUCUUUUUUUUGGCCUUCAACAGAUAAACUAGGCUUAAACCUAAGAGGAUAAUAUUCUAAUAGUGUUGUACUUUAUUGUUGUGCCAAAGUAGAUAGCUUUGUUUUGUCAUUGCAAUUGAAGUUUGAUCAUCACGAUAGGGAUGGAGUCUCAGACAGUCAAUUCUCUAAAGUCAUUCUCGAUGAAAUAAAGGCGAUUCGCCAGGUACUUCAGUGGGGAAUAGGUCCAUAGAAUACUUGCUCAUCAUCAUUCCUUUUAAGUAGAUUAGAAAAAAAAUUUCCAGUUACAACUUGAGUUGGUUUUGUCAUAGGCUUGUGAUUCACUUAAUUUUGAGCAAAAAAUUACCUUGAUUGUGGUGCAAAAGAGGCACCAUACUCUCCUCUUUCCUACUGAUAAAAGAGAAAGUCUAUUCAAAGGCAACAUACUACAUGGUAUGAUACUUUUCUUAUUAAUUUACCAUAGUCAAUCAGCUUUUGAGUAGUUUAAAAUUUUAGUAUUUUUUUAUCAGGUACCAUUGUUGAUACUAUCAUUUACCAUCCUACUGAAUUCAAUUUUUACCUCACUCACCAUGCUGGGUUUAAGGUGACGCCCAUCUCCUUUACAUUUGGCAAAACGCACCGAUCGAACUCUCUUUUUGUGUAGGUCACUAGUAGGUCAUUGCACUAUCACGUAUUACUCUAUGAGAACGACUUCUCUGCCGAUGCUCUCCAAACCCUCACUAACAAUUUGUGCUACACGUAAGUAUUUUGUUGCCUUUCUAAUUGAUUAACCUCAUUACCAAUAUUUAUUUUUUGGAUCAUAGCUUAUAUUAUCUUUGAACUCCACAGAUAUGCUUGAUGCACAACCUCGGUCUCAUUAGGUUAGGUCAAGAUUUGUUAUUUUUCUCCAUGGACCUUUUCCUUUUUGAAUUUUUUUAAUUUUUUACUCCUCAUUUGAUGUUUUGUGCAUCCUGCAAUGCCCCCGUUUAUUAUCCCCAUUUAGCAGCCUUUCGAGCGAGGUAUUACAUAGAGGACAUGAAGCCUAUUGCCAAUUUUGGUUGGAUUGAGGUUAAGGAGCAGGUGGAGAACGUUAUGUUUUAUUGCUGAAUGAAGCUGUUGGAAUUAAGCCAUGACAUCAUUUGAUUCCUUUUGGUCCUAUUUUUUUUUCCACCAAAAAUUUUAGGGGUGCAUGUCAACGUUUCUAUUCCGGGGAACUAUUUCUUUUCAAAAAUAGUUUUUUUCUAUUUCUACUCCGAGAACAAUUUUUGAGUAAAAUAAGGUGUUUGGUAAUUAUACAAAAUUUCAAUUCUUGGAAUUGAAAAAGAAUAGAAAUGCGUUUAGUAAAAAUUUAUAAAUUUUUGAGCAAAAGAACGCUUCAAGUGUCAUAACUUUGCUCAAAGGGACACUUAAAUGCCAUAACUUACGAAAGGUACACUUAAGUGCCACAUUCGAAGAAAAACGGAUCACUUGAGUGCCACUUCGGCCAAAGUCCGGCCAAAACACAGACGUGGCAUUUUUCCGGCGAAGCGCGCCCAAAACAACGCCGUUUUGCAUGCUAACGUGGCCAAAUAAUGCAAAAACGGCGUCAUUUUAAGCUGAGAUGGUAAAAAAAAUAAACAAAUUAAUUAAAUUAAAUUAAAAAUUAAAUUUAGUUAAAAUAUUNNNNNNNNNNNNNNNNNNNNNNNNNNNNNNNNNNNNNNNNNNNNNNNNNNNNNNNNNNNNNNNNNNNNNNNNNNNNNNNNNNNNNNNNNNNNNNNNNNNNAUACUCCGAUUUUGGAACAUAAGUGUACCUUUCGUAAGUUAUGGCACUUAAGUGUCCCUUUGUGCAAAGUUAUGGUACUUGAGAGGUCCGCACGUCUAAAUUUUUGUAUUUAUUUGUUUUUUCUUCUUACUCACGGACCGCUGACCGCUACUUGCCACCGCACAACUGCUGUAAGAACGUUGCACGAACGUCGCACGACCGCCCCACAACUACUGCACGACCGCCGAUCGUCGUUGCCGACUAUCGCCGCAAGAUUGCCGCCCACAGCCCAUCGGUUGCGGGAGGGGGCAUCAGUUAGUGGGCUAUGGGCGGCAGUCUUGCGGCGGCGGUCAACAGCGAUGGUCGUCUAUCGUGCGGCGGCAGGCAGCAGUCGUGCAACAGUUGUGUGGCAGUUAGCGACGGCAGGCUGCUGGUGGAUGGUGGCGAUUGUCCGCCGGUGGGCUGUGGGCGGUGGCUGGUGGGCUACAGGCGACAGCGACCAUCGCCGGCGUUCGGCUGCCGACGAUGGCCGCGAGCGGCAGGAGGUGGCCAAAGGUUGGCAAGCCACCGACGGUGGCCUCAACAAGGCAAUGACUUCAACGACCUUCUGAGCAGCAAAUGCAAACCAUGACUUGAUUUCCUCAUCUAACUGGGUCUCAUUAACCAGGUCAACAGGAGUGUGCAAAAGAGAGCAGGAGGUGGAGACCACAAUUUUGUCUGUAGAUAAAUGAGGUCUAUCAGAUAUCAACUUAAGCAUAAAUGACAAACAGAUCAUCAAAAAACACUACUUGGAAAUAACAUAUGCAGGAAGUAGUACCUUUUCCCACAAUGCUCUCAAGAACAUGCAGGGUACUGAGCGAUCCAGCAAGAUCAUUGGCCCAGAUGUUCCUACCAUCAACAACUCCAGCAAAGAGAUACUUGCCUGUGGGGAAGCCACCCUUGAUUAAAUCAAGGGUCUUGGUUCCAUCGACCAAAUCAAAUCCAAAUCCAGUGACGCCCUUCAAGGAAGUAAGAACUUUAUAUGCCUCAGCAGAAACAUCAGCAAAAAUAUGUCUCGACGACAACAUUCACGCCAGAAAGACAUGAUUCUAGUUUCGAGUAUGCUUAAGUAAAUGCUUGCAGUUUGUGAGAAUCAAGAUCCAUGACAAGGGUGGGCUCAUCAAACUGAAUCCAUGAAGCACCAUCAGCCUUAAGUUCGGACACAACUUCCCUGCAUGAUAUUAUCAUUGGUCAGGAAACGUAUUCAAUGAAAACUGCGAGAGAGGAGUUCAUUAUCUUACCUGUAGAUGGGAAGUAUUUUGCCGAGAAGGGACAGGGGAGUCCCUUUUCCUCUUUGUGCAUGAUAUUUUUUGUGCUACUUUCUCCUCGUCUUGCCUCCCUGCCUCUCCUAUGUAUAUUGGGUGCGUUUGGGAAAACUUUUGGGGAAAGUCUUUAGGAAAAUGCAAACACCUUUGAGUUAAAGGUGUUUUCCAAAAUGCAACUGUGUUUGGUAAAUUGUACUUUAAAAGCUCUUUGUGAAGCACUUUAAGCAAAAUAGUGUUUGGGGAAUUAUAUUUACAAAGCAUAUUUAUGGUAAAAAAAAAAUUAUCAAAAGAAAAAUUAAAAAAAAUUGACCGGCAAGGGCAGCGACCUCCGGCGACCUCCGGCGACCUCGGAUCUGGGGCGGCGAGGUCGCGCGACGUCGUCGCGACCUCCGGCGACCCCGGAUCUGGGGCGGCAAGGCCCGGCGACCCCGGAUUUGGGUCGUGGCAGCGUCGCGCGACCUCCCGCGACCUCUGGCGACCCCGGAUCGGGAGGCUGCGAGGUCGCGCGACGCCGCCUCGACCUCCGGCGACCUAGAUUCAGGGCGUCGAGGUCACGGGAGGACCUCGCCGCCCCGAAUCUAGGUCGCCGCAGGGUCACGCGACCUCACCGCCCCCGGAUCUGGGGCGGCAAGGUCGCGAGAGGUCGCGCAACGCCGCCGCGACCCAGAUCCAGGGGCGGCGAGGUCGCGCGACCCAGAUCGGGGGCGGGAAGGUCCUCCCGCGACCCUACCGCCCCAGAUCUGGGUCCCGGCGACCUAGACCUCGCCGCGACCCACCCCCGGCGUCGGUCGCGCCACCCCUGACGACGGUCGUCUGGGCGACAGUUGCUGGCAACUGCCUGCCUUUCGCCGGCGACUGGUCGCGGAAGAAGAAGAAGCUCGCGCGGAAGAAGAAGAAGCUCGUGGAAGAAGACGAUGAAUAGUAAGGGCGAAAACGGACAAACGAAAAAUGAAUGAGGGUAAUUUGGGAAGAAUUUUUUUUUUUAAUCCUCAAGCUCAGCAUUUUCGGUAAGCUAAAAGCCGAAGGCAACCCCCACCCUGCCUUGGGCUUUCAGCCUUGUGAAAGCACGCAUUUGGGGAAUGCCAACCCAAAAAUGAAUGCCAAACGGGCUGGCAUUUGCUCGAGGAUCUUUAAGCCUUCAAAGGGCUUUGGGAAGUGGUUCCCAAACGGAGCCAUUGUCAGUCAUUUUGGAAAGCGUUCUUUGCAAAAAACAACCUUAUUAUUAUUUUUGUUUACCCACCAAAAAAAGUUGUACCUGGUCGGUCCCACCUCUCCUUUCGUCUAUCGUCAGUCUCCAUUAUCGGCUCCGCGAGAUAUAUCCCCGAUUUGAGCAGAAUGGGGCGCUGUUAAGGAAAAUCCCUCCUCGAUGCUUUGCCCCCAUUUUGCCCCACAAAACACGCGAAGGCUAUUUUACCCGCGUCUCCAUUCGUCAAAAAAGAGCAUUUUAAUCUCCGUUCUUAAAAUAAACUGUUUUGUAAUUCCCUUUCCAUCUCGUAUGAUGAUAUAGAAGCCUUCAUGAUACGGUGGGACAUGGUGGGCUGCGAUAUUUGAGUUCGACUCGUCAAAUAUGUGGAUUAGAUUGAAUUUAGGUCAGAUAAAAAAUUAUCUGAUCUAAACUAAUUAAUUAUACUGACUGUGAUCUAUUUCCAUACAUGUAAAUCUAAUAACCCGACAUGAUUAGUAUAGUUAAAACACUUCCAUCUUAUAUUCAAAAGUGAGGGGAGAUCACGGAGUCAGUGAAUGCGGAAUUGAGCGACAGUAAGAGAGAGUGAAAAAAGAGUCAUAAAGGUAGGUUGGGUUUUAAUGAGUUGUAAACCCAUUUAACAAGUGUUGUCCUGAGUUUUACAAAUCUAAACAUAUUUUUGAAUAUAACUAACUCAUAUAGUAAUUCAAUUCAUUAAAUACGAGUUAAGAAAUGAGUUUAUAAUCUAUUUUGACACAUUUAAUUUGAGUAAAGAUGAUUGUUCAAUAGAUCCCGAGAGUGGCCAAAGAAUCCCAAAUGAGUUUCACUUAACUAAAACAUAAUUUAAGCAUACGUCUUCAUAGACUCGCCGCAAUUAUUUUACACAAUUUAUUUAGUUAAGAAUAUAUCAUAAUGUUAAUCAACAAAACGUAUUGCUCUGUAAAUAAAUUCUUACAUACCAAUCUUAGUAAGUUUAUUGUUUUCCUCCAAACAAAUAAGGAAAGAUAGAUCAAAAUCUAUUCAAAUUUCAGAUAGCCUCCCCAUUAAAAAUGUCGUAUGUCUCCAUCAAAAGGGGACUUCCUUCCCUCUUUCUCCGCUAACCCUAGUCCCUCUGCUCUCUGUCGCUCCCUGCUUCUCGUCAUACCUAUCAUCCCCACCAUCCGCGUUGGCCCUCUCUGCUUAUCGUCGCCACCGUCAUACCUAUCGUCCCACGUUGCCCUCUUUCUCUCUCUCUCUCUCUCUCGUCCGUUCUUUGCUUUACAAACACAUUGAAAAACACAUGCUGCCUUCACCACAUUGCCAUUUGCCUGAGACACGGCCAAAGUCAUUAGAGACUUGUUGAGAUUGCUUUACAAAAUUGAUUAAUUAAAGUGAUAUAUCAGAUUUUCAGGCUCCAGAAACCUAGAGAGGAGCCCAAGAGAAGAUCUGGCAAUUUUGCCAUUUUUGUGAAGACAAUUCCGAGUCAUGCAGACCAUACAGAAGCAAAAUGCUCAAUUAAUGGAAAAAUCCUGCUUUGUCCUUGUGAGUACAGAUUGCUGGGAUGAUUGCUAGGGAAGAUGGUCAACGGCUCAUUUGACUCUGGAACAGCUCCCAGCUAACGCUUUGGAGGUUAAAGGCCUCUAUAAACAGAUCAAAGGUAACUCCGAAGAUGGCAGGAAAUUCCGAACUUGCAAUCUCAAUAUGUUGCAACAUGCACUCUAGCCUUCACUCGUGCAGUGUUUGUCUUCAGAUUGCAAUUCUACGUGAGGCCUAAAUUCUUGAAAUCUAGGAAGAGCGGGGAUGGUAGGGUUGUAAGAGGUGCUUGUGGAAUUGUCUUCUAAGCUUCUUGCAGUGGGAGCACCGUUUACAAACCAUAAAAUUUCAGCGAUUACUCGAUGGAUUCGAGUCUUGUUCAUGGCUAUUAGAGUUGAGAGAGUAAAGAGUGCCAAGUGAAAGUUCCUUUUUAUUUUUAGGGGGUGGUCAGAAAUACAACUUACAUUACUCUGUCAACGAGUUCAAGUACAUAAAACGAGAUUCUGAACACAAUAAAGCUCAGAGGGCAUCAGAGGGGUUAGAAAACCAAUUGUGAGGUAGGGAUCCACACCGCUGGACUUUUGCAAUCCAAUCCGCUACCUUAUUUACAUCUCUGCUUGAAAUGUGCCAAGUGGAAGGUCAAACCACUAUAAAUCCUGUCUUACAAUAUCUUUUAUCUCUUUUAACUCUUCUAAUAUGUGUUAGAUAGAAGUUACUACACUCCCAUAGCUAAUUUCCUUAUAUAAAAGCAUAUUCUCACGCCUUUCACUAAUAAAGGGUUUUAAUUUUCUUAAAACAACCCAUCACCAUUGAAUGAAUGAGACUAGUAUGUAAACCUCAACGAAAGAUUCAAUAAAUCAAAUGACUACCAACAGAAAUGAUCUUAAAAUCCAAAUUUUAGUACUUCAAAAUUUGAAGUUUUAAAAUUGUGGAAAUUUCACGAAAUGAUACUGAAGCGUGUGCUUGGUUCGACUUUCAAUCACAUCAAAAGCCUUAUCCAAAUUUCUUGUGAGGAUAAUAAAUUAUAUUUAAUAAAUGAUAUGUGAAAGUAUUCUAAUUCUUAGAUGUGUGAAAAUCUUUGAUUAAUGUCCAAAAAAGGUUUGGUGUCGUAUGCAACAACGGAAAUCGCAAUUGACACCAUCGCUCCUAAGUCCUAAAUAUGAUUUUUUUUUUUUUUUAAAUUUAUUUAACAUCGGCCCUUCCAAAAGUAGAGUCCCUUCCUAAUUUUUUACAUAUCGAUCUUAAUAAGUCCAGUAUUCUCCUCUAAACAAACAAGUUCGAGACAAAUCCAAAUCAAUUCAAAUUUCAAAUGGCCUCUCCGUUAAGAAUACUAAUCACAUGGCAUGACUUGAUUAAAAAGGAACUUCUCUCUCUCGCUUCUAGAAAUCAUGUCGCAGUCUCCAUCCUCACCCAAUCAGCAUUACUUUCUCUCUCUGUGUAUGGGCAUGCACAUAAAUGAAAGCAAUACUAUUGUUGGACUGCCCCUAUAUGAAAUAAUAAAGUGUGGAAAAGUAAAGAAGAUUACGUGCAAGCUGUCGGACUCGAUGAAUUGCUUAGUUAGGCAGUCCAUUAACGAGAAACGCGAUGGGCGAGGGACCCCGGCACAUUUGACUAAUCCGGCAGUCUAUCAACGGGAAAAUCUGUACCCCUCCAAACACAUUGAAAAACAUGCUAAUUUAGCCACAAACAGCUUCCAUCCAACGCUUACAAGAAUAAAGGCGUAGAUAAACGGAUCAAAGGUAUCUUUGAAGAUGGCCGGAAAUUCCAAAGUUGCAUUCUCACCAUGUCCUAACAUACAGCCUAGCCUUCACUUGUGCAAUGUUUUUCUUCAUAUCGUAAUUUUAUGUGAGGGCUAAAUUCUUGAAAUCUGAGAAGAGAGGGGAUGGUAGGAUUGUAAGAGGUGGUCGUGCUUGUGCAAUCGCCUUAUGAGCUUCUUGCAGUGGGAGCACCGUCUAUAAACUGUAAAAUUUCAGCGAUUACUUAAUGGAUUCGAGUCUUGUCCAUGGCCAUUAGAGUUGAGAGAGUAAAUUGUGUCAAGUGGAAAGCUAUACCACUAUGAAUUUGUCUUGAAAUAUCUUCUAUUUCUAUACUUCUUUAAUAAUAGAUUUGAUAGAAAUUACUACUACAUCGGCAUAAUUAAUCUCCUUCUACAAAAGCACAUGCUCAUAUCUUUCACUCGAGUUUCAAUGUUCUAAAAACAACUGAUCACCCUUUCUUAGUUGGUGUUUUAGCCAACUAAAUUCGUAUCAUAGCAUGUUGCUCAAGUUUUCAAAGUUCUAUAUUUCAAGAGCAAAAAGAUCAUUGUGGCUCACAUCAUAGGAGUUUUUUCGAUGAAGACAGUCCAUUUCUAAACCACAAAUAUUCAAUCGAUCUGACUAUAUUUAUUGGAAUUGGAAGAUAAAAAUCUUGGUAAAUUCCCUGGAUUUACAAUAUGUGGAAAGUCAUCGAGAAUUGACCAUACAUCCCAGCACCGAGAAUUAUAGCGCCUCCAUUUGCAAAAACAACUACAUCUUCUACAACAACAAUGCCACCUCCAGCAACCAAAAUUUGAUAAAUAUGAUAUGAUGUUUGGAUCAUCUCCAGAAACAAGUUCCUUCCAACCAUUGCAGCCACCCUUUCUAUGUCUCUUUUUUAUUUUCCUGAUCGAGAUCCCAUUGAUUGUGUUUAAUGAAAUGUGUGAUUUGGAUCCAUCUUUUGACAAAGUCCGUGAUUACUCCACAUACAUCUUCUAUACAUGUUUUUUUUUUGGUAAAGAAGGAUAUUUACUCAAGACCCCCUGAACUUGAUCAUUAUUGCUAAACCGAUUUCGCAUUUUGACAUGUUAUAAGGGCCUGUUUGGUUCGGUUUUGGGGAAAUGCCCUUGGGAGAAUUACAUCUUCUAUACAUGUUGCGCUCGACGCAAACCAAAAAAGAAAAAGAAAAAGUAAAAUGUCGUCAUAGACACUCGACAACAAAGAAUAUCAUGAAACUCUUUAGCCAAUGGGCCAAUUUCCUUAUAAAUCCCAAACUUUAGGUUCAGUCUCAAAUUUAUUUUGAACUUUUCUUUGUUCCAGAAAAAUCUCCAAACUUUAGAUCCAGUCCAAAAUUUGCCUUGAAUUUUUCUUUUGUCUAGGAAAAAACCCUAAAAUUUAGGUUUAGUCCCAAAUCUACCUCAAAUUUUGUUUUGUCUAAAAAAAAACACCAACUCUUAAUCUAUUCUCAAAUCUACCCCAAGGUCUAGUCCCAACUUAACGUGGCAUUUCCACAUUGAUAAUAAAUACACAUUGGCAAGGCGGCGUGGAAAAUUAUCUUCAAACUAAAACCGUUCUAGGAUAAAAAAAAAUUAGGGAUUACUAGACGCGAUUUUUAGAUGGAGGGCAAACGAGUGCCGAUUUAGGAUUAGAGUAAAAAUUGAUGAUUUUUUUUUAACAAAAAAAAUUGGGGUAGAUUUGUGAUUAGACCUAAAGUUUGGGUUUUUUAUGAGAUAAAAGAAAAGUUUGGGGUAGAUUUGGAACUAAAGCUAAAGUUUGGGGCAAAUUUAGGACUAAACAUAAAGUUUAGGGUUUUUUAGGGAAUUAGCCCUAGUCAAUGCUAAGACGAACUAUAGCUACAUCUUGUUGCAUGCUUCACAAUAUCGUGAUCUAGCCCAACUGACAUAGGUAAUGUUGUUCUAGAGAUCUACGACCAAAGCAUUGAAAAUUCUUGGUACGUGAGUAGGGUUGAUUCUUCAAUAGAUCCCGAGAAUAGGCUAAGAUUCCCAUAUGAGCUUCACUUGGCCAAAAAAGUAACUUAGGCGGGCAUCAUCUUGCUGUGAUCAUUUUACACAAUCGAUUUAAUUAAGUGGAAUAUCGUAAUGUUGAUGAAUAAAACGUAUUGCUCAACUCAGACCAAUCUCAAUAAGUUUAGUAUUUUCCUCUAAGCACACAAACAAAUUAAAGAUAAGUCAAAAUCCAUUCAGAUUUUAGAUGGCUGCUCCAAUUAUAAAUAUGUGACCAUUGCAAAACCAAAGGUCGUCCGCGUCUCCCUCGAAUCAUGUUGCGGUACUUAGGGGUGAGCGGUUCCCGGUUCCGGUUCAGUUCCGCAUGAAACCUGAAACCUACCAUCGGGUACAGGUUCCUCAUUUUUUGGAACCUGGAACCUACUCGUCAGAACCAAGAACCUGGAACCUACCCUGUCACAGGUUCCGGGGUUGGUUCCAGGUUCCAACAUGUUCUUUUUUUUUUUUUCUUUUUUAGUUAAAAAAAACGAAAAUGAACGCAACAAUAAUAAACAAUCUUAUACCUGUUAAUCCUCACUCUUUUUUUGAGCUUAUCCUUCAAAUCAAUGAUUAACACAUAAAAAUAGCUUGAACUCACCAUAACGGGGUCCGACACCUUGACAAUCCUUCAAGGAGCAGUACUCCAAAACUGUAGAUGUCUAAUUUUUGUAUGGGUUUCCGAGUUUUCAUGACUUCGGGAGCCCGAUAACCUGCACUUCUAGUUCUAGGAGGCACUGUAGGAGUGCGAAUCAGAGAAGUCAGGCCAAACUCUAAGAUGCAACCUUCAAGGUAUGUUGCCAUGGAUAAACCUCCCGCCUCUGGUCGGGAUAAUCAUCCGCGUAUGACAAGUCGCCAACAUACAAUAGAGUCUGUCCUUUUCGCAGAUUAUGCUUCGGUUUGAAUCAAAAGUCUAACCAAGAUCCCCUGCAAUGGUCAUCGGCAUGCUAAGCACAGAAAGAAGUAGAACCAUGGAUGCAUGUAAAUUACCGGCAGAACUAAAUUUGCUGCGACUUAAUGAUGAAAAUGAUUAUCAAAACUAAAUGAUUCUACAAAGACUCAUAGUACAUACACAGGAAUGAGCUUUUGAAGCUACUCUGAGUCAUUGACUAUCUAUGCAUGACAAUACGAUUUACUUUACCUAUGAGACCGAAAGUAUAUGAAACACCAAGGCCAACCUCUAGAGGAGUAAUGAACUAGAACUGUCGGACCGUGUGUCCAAUUCCAACCUCAUAAUAGUAUUUAGUGUUGUAUUGCAAGUAAACGGAAUAAACAUCAGCUACAUUUACCAAAUUUUGCAGACCAGGCACCAAAAAAUUAAUAUUUCUGGAGGAAAUCAGCCCCAUUCAAAACCAGAACAAGAACAGCCCCAACAAUAGCCACUGAACAGCAAGAUGAAGAUCCCAGAACAGCCAUCUUGGUCUUAUUUUGGAAUACGGAAGAACCUACGUGACAACCCCCACAAAUUCCCUUCCCUCACUAUGUAUGUACUUGGAUCAUGGCACACAAGCAUGACACUCACAUCUCAGAAAUCGAUCAAAUAAAGCAGCUAAAAUGUUAGAUUAGAUCUAACAGUUAAGAGCAGAAACAACAAGAUAUUAGACCUGCGAUCGAAGCUGGAGGAGGCGAGUUUCUUCGGUGUCGAGGGCGGCAAGCGGCAUCAAGGGACGUCGGGCGGCGUCGAGGGGGUCGAGCGAGCGUCGAGGGGCCGAGAGGCAUCGAGGGGCGGCGCGGACAGCGCGACAGCUCGUCAGGCUCAACUGCGAGACGGCUCGUCGGACGAGCGGUGGGUGGUCGUGGUUCGGUGGCCAAGAGGUGGUGGUGAGUAGGGCGUGGGGCGGCGGUGUGGUGGUGGGUGAAGCAGCAGCCAGCAAGAGGAAGGAAGAGGAAGAAGAAGAGGAGGAGGAGAAGAAGGGGCGGUUUCGGCCAAGAGAGGGGGAAAGAGAAGAGAGAGAGAGAGACAAAGAAAAGAAAAAAGUUGGGGGGGCAGGAAGUGAUGUGAGGAGGAAAAAGGGGAGAAAAGAAAGAGAGAGAGAGAAAGAAAUGGGAAGGGGGAAGAAACGGUAGAAAGGGGGGGAAAAUCACAUUGGGGGAAGUAAAAGGCUAAGGUUUUUUUUUUAAAGUUUCUGACCGGAACCGGGAACGCCGGUUCCUCGAAAAAGGGAACCGGGAACUGGAACCGGUCCCUUUAGAACCGGGAACUGAACCGGACCCUGCGGUGCGGUUCUCCGGUUCCCAGUUCUAUCCGGGAACCGUGCUCACCCCUAGCGGUACUUAUUACCACACGAUCACCAUGGCAGUGAUUUGGGAAAGUACAGAAGGUCACGUGCCCGCUUUUGGAGGAAACGUUACCAGGAAAGUGGUACUGGGACGUGGUACCCCAGCAAAGCAUUAAAAAAUAUGCUGGGACGGUAUCGACGCGAUUGGCGAGGGACAGAGAGAGAAGAAGAAGAGGAGGAACGGGACCAGGGAAAUGGCGCGUGGCGAUGGGGUAUUGAUGGAACCGAUGGUAGGUCGGCUCGACAAAUACCACGUCGCUCUAAGGUUUGUUUUAUAUGAGCCGUCUGGAUAUUGAAAAGAGGAGAGAGAUGGCAAGGCACGUUGGCACCUGUGGCUGAGGAGCGCUUUUGGCGGUAGGCACAAAAAGAAACGAUCGAAAGGCAAGUUGGUAUCUGGAGAGCUGACUAGAUGGAUGGCGUGCCUUUUUCUUCUCUCUCUCUCUCUCUCUCUUAAGGAACCCCUCCUCGGUCCAUCCAAUCAGUUUUCCGAUUGUUUCGUUUUUCAAGUGACAGGAGUAUUCUGGUCUCCUUCCUUAAAAUGAACCGUCAUUGAAUUCCCUUUUUAUCAAGUGGUAUCCAGUAAUGUUGAUGAACGGGAGGCAUUGCUUGAUGAAUCAGUUUAUACAGAUCAGUCUCGGUAAGUUUUCUAUUUUCCUCUAAACACACAAACAAAUCGGAGAUAGGUCCAAAUCCACGCGGAUUUCAGAUGGCCAUCUCAAUUUUUUGUGUGUCGCAGGACAUGACUCGGGGCAAGACGGAAAUCUCGAAUCACGUCACGGUACUUCUCACCCCAGCAGUGAGCAAUUUGGAAUAAGUAAAGAAGUUCACCAGAUGCCCGCUGUUGGAGGAAACGUUCCUCGAUGAAUUGCUUAAUCGACAAUCCUCUUAAAGACCCAACCAAAUAAAAAAAGAAAAAAGAAAAAUCCUAUUACCCAACAGCACAUUGACUUAUCUGGCAUUCCAUCGCCGUGGAAAAAGCGGUACCGCAUUGAAAAUCAUGCCGAUUCCCACCACGUUGUCCGUUCGCCAUGGGAAAGGCGAGUCAUCGCAGACGACGGAAAAAGCCUAGAGAAUAACCCUCGGCCUCUUGAACCCUUCCACCCCGAAAAGAAGCAGACCAGGCAGUCCGGCGAUCUUUGCGAGGACAGGCACGUCAGAGAGUUAUGCAGACUACAGAACCAAAAGGCUCCAUUGAUGGAAGAAAAGAAACCCGGCUUUGUCUUCAGAAUAUAUCCUCAAAAUUGUGCAGAUUAAAGGCCUAUAUGAACAGGUCAAAAGGUAACUUUGACGAUGGCCGGAAAUUCCGAACUUGCGCUCUCACUAUCGCUUGUGCGAUAUUCCGUCUUCAGAUUGUAACUCUAUGUGAGGGCCAAAAUCUUGAAAUCUAAGAGGAGAGGGGAUCGUUGGGUUGUCGUAAUCGUUGUUUUAGCUAUUUUUAUUGGUGUCGGAGCAUGCCGCUCAAGUUCUUGAAGUGCUAUAUUGCAGGAGCAAAAAGAUCAUUAUGGCUCACAUCAUAGGAGCAUCCUUCGGUGAAAACCAGACCACAAUUGUUCGAUGGAUUUAACUAUAACUAUAACUCUAUAUAUAUAUGAAAUGGAGGAUGGAAAUCUUCAUACAAUCCAUAUAUUACGAUAAGUGGAAUGGCCAUCGAGAAUAGACCAUACAUAUCAGCACCAAGAAUCCUAGCGCCUUCGUCCACAAAAAACACCUACUUUUGCAACAACAUUUCCACCUCCAGCAACCAAAAUUUGAUAAUUAUGCUAUGAUGUUUGGAUUAUCUGAAGACUCAAGUUCCUUCCCAUCCCAACCAUUGCAUCCACCCUUUCUUAUUCUAUUUUUUUAUUUGAUCAAGAUCCCAUCGAUUGUGUUAAUACAUGUCACGACUUUAUGCAAUGUGUGAUUUCGGAUCCAUCUUUUGACAUGGUCCUUAAUUGCUCCACAUCCAUCUUCUAUAUAUGUGGCACAUGAAGAAAACCCAAAAAGCAAAAUUCCUCGUACACACUUAACAGCAAAGAAUCUCAUGAAAUUCCAUAGCCAAUGCCAAGACGAACUACAGCAGAAUCCUGUCACAUGCUUUGUGUUAUCUUGAUCCAGCUCAAUCAAUAUAAGCAGCGCUAUUUCAAAGAUCUGGGAUUGAAGUAUAGAAAAUUCUUGGGAUGAUAGUAGAAUCAUGCUUAGGCGGAGCAUGUAACCUUAGGUAAGAUAAAUAGUGAUUGACCAACGUUUUGGCAAUGAAGUCGAUUCAUUAUUACGAUUCAUUAUUAUUAUUAUUAUUAUUAUUAUUAUUAUUGCUCAAAGAGCAUUUGUCAUGGCCCUUUGUCAAGUCGCGCGAUCUUCUUCGAUAGGGACGGGCGCAGCAUUUUGUGGAUUUAUUGCCGGACAUUUGUCACGAUGCUAAUCAGAGUACAGAUCUCUCUCUCUCUCUCUCUCUCUCUCUCUCUCUCACUCUCUCAAGAUCCCUUUUCCCCUAACAGGCCCGGCCCGGGAUGGGCUCAAUUGUGUCGGGCCUACAGUGCUUGGGCUGGCACGGCCCAUCAGGCAUUGCCAUUUCUGUACGUCGAUCUGGAAAAGACUACUGUAAGAGGACCAAUGAGGGUCAUAACGAAAUGGAUAAAAGCCCGUGCCAUAUCCAUCAUCGCUUAUUAGAAAAGAAAGAUCUAGUUUACUCACCUUUUGUCCUCAAACUUACGGUGCACUUUUCUGAGUUCCUCGCUCUGAGGGAAGGAGCCAAUGGUGGUUGUUGGGAUGACUGGCAAAUUAAGUUUCGUUUGCUGAGCAUCAAGUCUAGCACUCACAGCUGUGGCACGGUGAUGAUCAUAGCCCUCCAAAGCAGCAGCCUGGGAGAGAUGAGAAUAUCAAGAGUUCAAGACACCAGUAAUAUCAUUUUCAUUGGUAUUUUUGGAACGCAUAAAAGAUGAAGGGUAACUAAGCAGAAAAACAUACAGCCUUUUGGACAGCUUCGUUUUUUACUCUCGGAGAGGACUUUCUUGAGGCCUGAGCAGCAGCAUUAGCUGAGAAGAAUUCCUGAAAACAGAGCCAUCAGCAAUGAGCAUUGAAAUACCAUCUCACAACAUUAGUAAUCAAUACUUUGGAAAUUGAACAUUAUGCUUGACAUUCACCCUAAAGUUGCUAGCUAACAGGCCUAGUUUAAAUUAAGAACUUUGCAUCCUAGUGACUGUAUUCAUUCUAGAAAAUAAGCUAACAAUAUGUAUUACCACCACUGUUAAAACUCUCUAGUAGCAACAAUGACAGUAUGGGCAUGCUAUGCUGCUUUUCAGCAUCAUCUUUAACAAAAAGAUAACAAACCGUACCUCAUCCUUUUGUCCAGCCAAUGCCUUGGCCAAGGCAUUGACUUUAACGACCUUCUGAGUAGCAAAUGCAAGCCAUGGCUUCAUUUCCUCAUUUAACUCAGUCUCGUUAACUAGGUCGACAGGAGUGUGCAAAAGAGAGCAAGAGGUGGAGACCACAACUUUGUCUGCAGAUAAAUAAGGAUCAGAUAUCAACUUAAGGAUACAUAAUAUGCAGAUCACACUAUAUUGAAAAACAUAUGCAGAAAGUAUUAACUUUUCCCACGGUGCUCUCGAGAGCAUGGCGGGUGCUGAGUGUUUCAGCAAGAUCAUUGGCCCAGAUGUUCCUUCCAUCGACAACUCCAGCAAAGAGAUACUUGCCUGUGGGGAAACCACCCUUGAUUAAAUCAAGAGUCUUGUCUCCAUCGAUGAUAUCCAAUCCAAAUCCAGUGACGCCCUUCAAGGAAGUAAGAACUUUAUAUGCCUCAGCAGGAAUAUUAGCAAAAUAGGUUUGGACGAGAACAUUUACGCCAGAAAGACAUGAUUCUAGUUCUGAGUAUGCUUCAGAGAAUGCUUGCAGUUGGUGAGAAUCAAGAUCCAACACAAGGGUGGGCUCAUCAAACCAAACCCAUGCAGCGCCAGCUACCUUAAGUUCGGACACAACUUUCCUGAAUGGUUUAUCAUUGGUCAGGAAAUGCAUUCCAAACAUGAGCAAAUGAAAACUGCGGGAGAAGAGUUUAAUAAUAUCUUGUAGAUGGGAAGUAAUUUUCCGAGGGACAGAAGAGAAAAGGUCUUGUCAACACCAUUUGCAGGCUUGGAUAGCAGCAGAUAGGACACCGGGCCAAGAAGGACCGGAACAGUAUCUACUCCAAGCUGGAAAUUAGCAAAUAGAUUCAAGAACGGAUAGCUUUAAGUAAUGCUAAGAUCAUACGAAGGCACAAGAAAACAAAAAUGGAUGAGCUGAUAAAAAUAUACAAACAAAAGAAUUAACUAAACCAACAAAAAGUGAGAAUUUCUCGUCGCCCGAGGGACAGCGGAGGCGGAGGCAUCAUGAGGGCGGCGGCUGGCGAAGGAGUAAGAUGGGAAAGGGAGGCAGGAGAGAGAAGUGCCCAGGGGAACAUGGAGUGAGACUAUUGGAUCUUUUCUUAAGUGCUAACCCUAAACCUGGUAGUCCGUCGGGGGGUGGUCGGGCAGACCGAGGCUAUCGGUCGUUGCCAUCGAGUUUGGAGGUGGGUCUUUGGGUCGCCAGACAUGUUUCAUCGAAAAGGACAGCGGAGGCGGCAGCAUCGUCAGGGCGGCGACUGGUGAAGGAGUGAGACAGGAAAGGGAAGGAGGGGAGAGAGAAACCCUAAACCCGGUUGUCGGAUGCGAAACAACCCCCGGCGGCCUGAUUUGUUCACGGUUCGGACUCUAUGCGAUUCUGGUUUUGGAUAAGGUCACAGAAAACAAGCUUUUCAUGUCGGGGAAUUCCGGCACUGAAUUUGUGGAAUAAGGCCAACUAUUACCCUCUUGGCGUCCUUGUACUCGUUGACGGCCUUCGGAGAUGCAAAAGAGAAGUUGACAUCGGGACCCAAUUCAGGCACCGUGUAGUGGCUAGACUAAAUGAGAUGGAUGGAUUAGUUACAAAGAAGAAGAAAAAACAAAAUGAUUCACUCGUACUUCACUGAGAUCUCACUUACUAGUUGGUGUCAAACCACUUGGUCAUUUCCAUAGCAGGGACAGAGGCAUUCCCUUUGGCCAUUGAGAAGUAAACAUCGAAUCCAAUCUCCCCACCAUUCCAACGAUAUCUGGGAGGAACGGCACCGAGCAUCGCGGUGGUGUCGAGCACCUGAUCAUAGUAUGCGAAGGUGUUGCUGGGAAUGUACUUGAUGCCGGCAUUGGCCAUCUGCUUCCAGAUGGACGACUUGAGAUCAGCUGCGACUUUUUGCAAAUCCUCGGCGCUGC